UGACAGCCUGAAAAACCAGAGAGACCCAAAUCCUAAUCAACACAUAUGAUGAUUCAUUUAAAUUAGAUUGUUUAUUCUCACAACACAACUCUCUGCUAUGUUAUUUGUCACAAACAUUAAAUUCUUCAUACGAUGAAUCCUUUAAUUGACAAUAGAUUAAGUUGAUAAUUAAAUAGUGUCCAAUUACCUAAUUAACAAACAUAAUCAUGAAACUAAUUCAGAGAAUAAACAAAUACCCAAAAAGUAAUAAAACAAUUAAAGCAUAAGAAAGAUCUCACAGUAGUGAUGAAUCAAAGCUUCAUUAUCCUUCAACCAGAAAAAUGGGUUUAGUUCCUCAUAGAGAGAAGAGAAAAAUUAGAUCUAGGGUUUCUUUUCCUCCAAUCCAAAAAUCCCCCCUUUUUCACAAUAGAUUCCUCCCUUAAAUACUCUCUCUCUCUUCUCUUUUCGAAUUCUAUUUAAAAUAAAAUACUAAUAUCUGAAAUAUUAAAUUCGUAAUUACAAAAAUAACCAAAAAUACAAAACACGUUAAACUAAAAAAAACUGCAGGUCCGCAGUUGACAGCACGCGCCCAUGCCUUAUCAACAAAGUUCUUCUGACGCUCAGAAAUUUCUCCAAGAGAACAAUCCUCCUUAAACAUCAUCUUUUAGCUCAAUUUUAUCAUCAAUCAAUAGAAUUGCACCUACAAAAGUAAAACACAAGUAAAACAUUAUUAUUAAGUGCAAAACAUCGAUAUUAAGGGAAGUAAACAAUGCAAAACUAGUGCAUAAAUUGCACUCUAACAAGUGCCAACGUGAUUCGUGCAAUUUUAUCUAAGAAUUUUCAUAGAGCUUAAUGAAUCUUUGCAUAUUUAAAUUCACAUAGAGAUAUAGUGGGUUGAUAUGUAGAGAUAUUUUUGAUAUUACUCGAGAGAGGAUAUUGAAUAAAUUAGGAAAAUUCACUGUCAACAUGGGUAAUAAACUUUAAUAGCAUAGAUGGAGGAUUAAAUUGGAUUGGUUAUGGUGAAAUCGGAUGUCCUAGUGUUUUAAUCUCUUGGUGAUUUCUAUUACUGCAUGCGUCUUCAUUUAAUUUUUAAUUAUUUUAUUUUAUUUAACUUUAAUCUAAAUUCGCCUAAUCAAUUGUUCAAAUAAAGUAGGGUUAGAAUAAUUUCGGUAACUAAUAUGAUAUACAAUCUCUGUGGGACGAUACUUUACUCUUCAUUAUAUUACUUGUGCCGACUAGUACACUUGCUAAUUUAUGCAACAAAUUGGAGUGACUACAUACACGACAGAGGAAGCACAGCUAGCUUUAGCAAUCAUUCAAAUAAAUCAAACCCUGGAAACCGGGUAGUCGAGACAGGAUAAUCCCCAAUCUCUACAUUGUUGGCAGGAAGGAUGGCUAUUUUCGUCCAUUAUUUAUAACAUCGAAACGUUUUUUCCCCUCUUACUGUCAUUAUUAUUAUUGUGCCAAAAAGAAAAUUUUUUUUUUUUGAAGUGUGGAAUAAAGAGAAAGAGAUUCAGUGUAGAUUUUGAACCUCUCCUAAUCUAAUUUUUUCUAAUCAUUUAAAGAAUUGAUAACAUGUGACAAUUUUUGUGAUGAAUGGUUAAGAUUUCUUUACUUUUAUCUUUUUUCAUAAGUUGAUAUAUUACCCUAUUAAUAUUUUUGUCUUCUCUAAUUUUAAAAGAUUUACAUGAAUCCCUAUAAUCAUAGGAGGAAAAAGAAAAAAAAAGAGUCCUAAUGAUUCUUUUCCCAUAAAUUGAUAUAUUAGCAUAUUAUUGUGUUUUAUCUUCCUUAAUUUUAAAAGACAUGAAUCCCUAUAAACAUGGAAGAAAAAGAAGAGUCACAAUUAGAAUCGUCUAAUGAAAUUGACAGAGUAUGAGAUUAAUAAAUACCCAAAUAGAUGUAUUAGAAAUCAAAUCCAGAAAUUAAAAAAAAAAACAGCAAAAUUGCAGUCAAUUAACACCCAAACGAUUUCCAAUCUUAGUUAGCACUUACCAAUAGAUUUGUUGUAAGGAUAAGCAGUUGCAACUUGCAAGUUGCCUAUAAAAAAUAUAAUUGGUGGGAGAUUUACACAGAAGUAACUGUUCUUGUAUGGCAUUGUUUUCCAUAUUUAUUUAGUUCGUUUUUAGAUUAAUUUCAGGUUCCCGAAAAAAAAUUUCUAUUUGACAGAUCUUUGUUCAAAAAAAAAAAAAGGGAAAAAAGAAGAAGAUGAUAGACUUUAGAAAAAAGAAAUAAUCAUUUAUGGCCAAAAAAAAAAAACUACAAAAAUCUUGACCUUUGAAUAUAAAUUGCCAAUGUUGUGAGAUCGUUAAAAGAUGAAAAAUUAGAUUAGAAAAUGAUCCAAUUCCAGAGGGAUGAGAGCACAUAUUGAGCUUAAUAAUAAUAGAAAAAAAAUUCACUUGUAUUAAUUUCAAAUGCCUCUAAGGCCUUAUUUAUUCAAAAUGUUCAAUGACAUAAAACUAAGUCAUCAUGAAUAAUGAAUCAUGAUUCAUCUUCUUAAUAUAUAAGUCAUAAUACCUAUGAUUUCUUAUCAUGCAUAUACAUAUUUUAAUGGCAAUGAUUAUGGCUAUAUAUACAUGUAAUAUUGGAUAUUAGUCAAAUAUACUUGAUUGGGAAGAACUUCAUAAAAAUUAAUAAUAAUGAUGAGAAAGAAACAAUAAAUUAAUUGAUUGAUUGUCUGUUUUUUAAUUAUUGAUUAAGAAAUAUUGAUUGUUAAUUAAUAUAAAGAUUAAUUGACUCCAAUUUUACUAAUCAACCGAUAUUGCUUAUCUAUUUUAAUUGUAUCAUUUUUUUUUCAUACUUGUAUAAAUUGAACUUUUUUAAUCAUGUAUAAAUAAGAGCGAAAUUUAUUUUUUCUCUGUAGUUCAUAAAAGUUUAUAAUAGUAUUUUGAGCUAUACCCAAGCCCGAAUUAGUCCACCCUACUUCGUUCAAAUUGAACCUUUCCAACACCUUGGGCACAUAAUGGCUUGGGACAAAAAGAUUGUACCCUUCUUUCUGUCUCUAAUCACUUUCAUGAUUGUACUCACCUUUCUAUCUCUGUCCAUCUUCGUUCCCAAAAUCUUUUUAGAUGUUCCAACUAGAAAAACCAACAAGGACACCAGAAGCCGAGCCUUGCAAAAAGAAACCAACAAAGAAACAAAAAGCUGAAACAAAAAAAUCAAAUCUAAGUCGGGGCCUUAAAGAGUUAUAAUAUUAUAAAAAAAAGAAAAGAGGAAAAAAAAACAGUACAUUAAUUCAGAAUACGAGCCUUUCUAAAAUUACUCAAAUUUCAGCAUUAACACAGCAUAUUAUGAGAUUACAAGGUGCAUAUUAAUAUUAAAAAUAAUUAAUAUAAAAAUAUUUUAUAUUUUCUUCAUAUUUUGAAAAGUGGUUUCUAAUAAGACCCGAGAAAUUAUUAUACAUUCAUAUUUUCUUUCUUUUUUUUUUUAAAUAGAUUUUUUAGUUUCGUUAUUUCAUAGCCUUUAUAUUUGGAUGAAAAGGAAACAGCAGUGGGUAUUAAAGAAGUAACAUUCAAAUUUCCAUCCUCAUUUAGUUUGCAUUCUUGAUUUACCAUUUCAAAUUUCAAGAGAUGAGUAAUUUUCAAAUCCAAACCAUCAGAGACGGUUGAGCUGAACGAUCGAAAAGCUUUCUUCAAAAGCCAGUGAUGAUACCGGGUUAUUUCUGAAAAUAAACAAUAGAGGUCUCUUGAGAUAAAAUGAGGAGGGCUUGAAGUAACCCUCUACUCGUAACUUUUAGCCUAAAAUUGAAUUCGAACUAAUAUGAGGAGAGAUGUGGUAUUUUAUCUUUCUCGUUCCUAUCUUCUGUUUCCAUUCUUCCCAACGUUAUUUUUGUAGUUGAUUAUCUGACAAUUCAUGAGCUUGUUACCGAAAGAAUUUCUGGAUGCAUUUAUUAUGUGGCCAAUUGAAGAAGUUAAGGGAAUCCUAUCUAGUAUAAUUUCGAAUAAAUCAUGCUAGGCCGAUUUCAAAUAGGUCGAACAAUUUCUUAUUUAGUUUAAUUUUAUGUUUCUUAUUUUAUUAGGAUUUCAUAAUUCUAUGGGGAAAAGAAAGCUUGCAGCUUGGCCACCCCAAGUCAAAAACGUUGCUGGAGUAUUUAAAAAGAGUGAUGAUAUCUCCACCCCACAUUUUUUUUUUUUGUAAAUUCACCUCAUUUUUAAAAGAUAAUUAUAAAAGUUGCAUAUUAUUUUUAAAAUUUUCAAAUCAAGAAGAACUUUGGAAAAUUAAUUAAUUAAAUCUAUGUUAAUUCACUUUUUUUGUAACUUAUAUUUUUUUUCAGCAUGUUUGAUUACAAAGAUUGUUUUAACAUAAGUUUAAAUUGACUAUUUUACCCUUAUAAACUAAAAGAAUUUACUUUAACUUCAAUAUUUUUCUAAUUUGUACCAAACUCAUUGUUUCUAAUACUACUUUAUUAGUACGAUUAUUAUUUUUUAAUUGAAUUAACAUAGUGUCUUUAUAGCACAAUUCUCAUAUAAAUUAUUAAAUUGUCAAAUUUAUGUCAUUUACACAUAAGGGUAGUGAAAUAAUAAUUAGGUUUCAUUUAAAAAUAUUAGAUUAUAAGCUGCAAAAUUAAAUACCUAGAUUAUUAGAUACAAUAACUCAUGUUUUAUGAGGGUAAUUUUAUCUUUUAUAUCAUAAUAAUAAAAUAGUAAAAUAAAAUUUAUGAUAAAACAUGGUCAAAGAACUUAAGAAAAAAAUUAAGAGAAUGAUUUAAUUGAUAAACUAUACAAAACUUUUAUUAAUUUAUAUUUUUUAAGAAUAUUUUGAAAUUAUUUUAAUUACUUUUUAGAAGUGAGGUGGAUUUACAAAAAUAGUGGGAUGGAAAUAUCCCUAUCCAUUUAAAAAUUGAAUAGGAAAUUUACUUAUUUAGGUAAAUUAGGUCAAUUUCAUAUUUGGCACCUUGAUUGUUCACAUAACUUUGUUAUAGCCUAUCAAACUUUUACAUUUAUGUAUUAUAAUUCCCUUCUUUGUCUCUUUAAUUUUAUAAAUUUUAUGUUAUAGCUCACUCAAAUUUAUAAUUUCCUUGUUAUGGCCCCACACUAUAAGAAAAAUGAUCUACUAUGACAGUCCUCUGUGUGACAGUUUUUGAUAUGGAGAGCUACAACGAUAGACUGAUGAUAGAUUUUUUUUCUAUCAUGUAUUUACGACAUACUUGUGAUAGAAAUUUUAUCUAUCAAACAUCUAUGAUAGAUUGGUGAUAAAUUAUUUGGCUAUCAAAAAGUAAUGACAAGUUUGUGAUACAAUUUUGGUCGUCAAGCAACUUUUUUAUUUUGAUUUUAUUUUACAAGAUUGACUGAAAAUUUUAAAAUAAAUAAAAAUUAAAUAAAGAAUAAACGGUAUUGUUUGGAUUAAAAGAGAAAAUAAGAAACGACACCGUUUAGAUUGAAACUAAAUAAAAACAAAACCCUCUUCAGUUUUCAACCAUCGUAUUUUUUUUCCCAAAGUGUUGGCACUCUCAUUCUUGUCUCUCGCUCAGUCACUCUCGUCAAUCUCACACUCACAAAGCCCUUCUCGCCUGAAAUCCUUGCAUGGGCACUAAACCACUGCCGACGUUCUCUUGUAUUUCACUAUCGAUUUUGGCCCUCACCAAGAACUAUAUGGAAUACCCACCAAACACGUGUGCUACUACUAUUGAAUUUUACCCUAACUGAGAACCCUCACUAGCCCACUGUCGUAACCAUUUGAUCAAUACAGGUAAAUAAUGUUUCUAGUGUUGUGUUCCAUUUCAAUUUUAAUGUUCUUGUUGUUAACAUGAAUAUGUUAAUAAUAUUGAUUUUGAUGAUAACAAACUUUAAAUGGUUUUUGAUUAAAAUGUUGGAGCUAUUCCUUAAUAAAUGAAAGCCUUAUAAUCAUUCCAAUCAUUCUCUUAAAAGAUGGACUUUCAAAUUAAAAAAUGACUCUCUGCAAAAUCUGGUUUAAAAUGUGAUUCUGGAAAUAAACGGUGAACUGUUUUCUUUCAAAUGGUUAACCGAUUAAAACCAGAGAGCAACAUUUUGCCUAAGCUCUAACCGAUUAAGAAAAAUGGAAAAUACAAAAAGCUGGGAAGGCUAUUGGAAUUUAACGGUGAAUCGUUUAUUUAAACGGUUAACCGAUAAAAUCCAGAAUUGAAUCUUGUACUCUUCUGGCAUCGUUUAACAAAACCGGAUAAGGAUAAAUUGCUUUGCAGGUUACUCGAAACAAACGGCGAACCGUUUAUUACAAACGGUCAACCGAUAAUAUCUAGAGAGGUCACUUCAUGCAAAUCCUUAACCGUUUAAUGUAAACGGAUAACUGAUGUUCAUCUUGCAGGUCUCUGGAAUUUAACGGCGAAAGGGUAAUCCUAAACGGCAAACCGUUUAUUUGAAAUUUGGCCCAACGGUAACUUUUGACCAGUCUAAACGGUUAACCGUUAAUGGUUAACGGCGAACCGUUUUCGGACCAACAGUUUGUAACGGCUAGUUUUUAAGCUCCAAAUAUAAAUAAGCUCAUUCAAAUUCAAAGAAGAUUGAUCACAACAAGACUGUUGAGCAUAUACUUGAGUAUACAAUCUUCAUAGAGCUUUGAACACAUUCUUCCUUCAUUUAUUCACAUAUUGGGCAUCAUUGUGUAAUCUUAAAUGUUGUGAGAGGUAAAACAAAUUUGAAAUAUUUUGUUUUGAGUGAUUGUAAGUGUUGGGAUACACUUGGGUUAAAGAGAUUGGGAUAAUCUCUUGUUGUAAAGGUUCAUUGACACCUUGGAAGUCAAGUGUAAGCUUUUGAAGCCUUGGAGGCUUGCUUAGUGAAAUCCUCAAGCCCGGAAAGCUUGGAGGCGUGGACGUAGGAGAGGUUGGCCGAACCACAUAAAAAUCUUCAUGUUUGAAUCUCUCUUCCCUUAUCUUUUUAUAUUGUAAUUGAUUUAAUUACUAUUCCUUUAAAUUCAUUCUAGAUUUGCAUGAUAAUUUGUCUUAGAAUCAAAUAAUUUUUAGAAUCCCAAUUCACCCCCCUCUUGGGUUGCAUACUUGUAUUUCAAUUGGUAUCAGAGCCUUGUUCUCUUAUUAUGACUUAAUCGUCUAGAGUAAAAGAUCCAUGGUAACCCUAAAUGACUCAACCUUUAGAGAAGGGCAAUCCACAACUAGACCACCGUUCUUUGACGGUAAUGACCAUAUUUAUUGGAAAACUAGAAUGAGAAUCUAUUUGCAAGCUUUAGAUUAUGAAAUUUGGGAAGUUGUAUGUGAUGAUUCGUUUUUGCCCCUAACUAAAAAUGAAUUCGGGGAAGAUAUUCCAAAACCUUCAAGGGAAUGGAAUGAGUUGGAAAAGAGAAAAGCUUCUCUAAAUUCCAAAGCUAUGAAUGCUUUAUUUUGUGCACUUGAUAAAAAAGAAUUUCAUCGAGUAUCUAGUUGUGAAAGUGCUAAUGAAAUUUGGCACAAACUUGAAGUAGUUUAUGAAGGCACAAAUCAAGUGAAAGAGUAAAAAAUUAGUAGGUACACUCGACAAUAUGAGUUGUUCCAAAUGGAACAAAAUGAGAGUGUGUACUCUAUGUAUACGAGAUUUACGGACAUAGUAAACACCCUAGGAGCCCUAGGAAAGACCUUCUCAAAUAGCGAAAAAGUUAAGAAAAUCAUUAGGUCACUUCCAAAAGAAUGGAGAUCUAAAAGAACCGCUAUUGAAGAGGCCAAAGAUUUAAAUACUUUACCUCUUGAUGAUUUAAUUGGUUGUCUCAUUUCAUAUGAAGAAGAUUUGGCAGCAGAAAAAGAGCAUGAGGAGAAUAAGAAAAGCAUUGCUCUCAAAUCUUCAAAAUAUGAAAGUAAUGGGGAGAGUGAACCGGAUGAUGAAGAGCUAGCCAUGCUAGCAAGGAGGUUCAGAAAAUUCUUCAAGAAAACCGGAGAGCGAAGAAAUUUCAGAAACUUCAAGAACCAAAGGGAGAAGAAAGAGGUAAUCACAUGCUAUGAAUGCAAGAAAUCUGGCCAUAUAAGAUCGGAGUGCCCACUUAUCAACAAACUUAAGAAGAAAGCCAUGGUUGCAACUUGGGAUGAUAGCGAGGAAGAUUCGAGUGAUGACGAAAGGUCACAAGAAGUAUCAAACCUAGCGCUUAUGACAAUAAGAAGGAAUGAUGAUCUCAAUGAUGUAAGUGAUCCCACCUAUGAUGAAUUGUAUGAUGCUUUUAAAGAAUUACAUAAUGAGUUGAUGAAGAUUGGUAAAAAGAAUGUAUGUCUUAAAAAGGAAAUGGCAAAGCUUAAAAAUGAAAAUGAAUCUCUAAAUGCAAAAAUUGCAUGCCUAGAAGUAGAGAACAAAACAUUGCAUGAUGAAAUUGCACUAUCAAAUGAGAAACCUAGCAUCUCAAAUGAGCAUUUAGAAUCACACAUAGAUGAUUUGAGAAAUGAAAACGAAAUGCUUAUGAAAAAGAGCAAUGAUUUGAAUGAGAUUGUUUUGAAAUUUACAAAUGGGCAAAAGAUGUUGGAUAAUAUGCUUAACUAACAAAAAUGUGUUUUUGAUAAAGGAGGACUUGGGUAUAAACCUAACUUGAAGCAAAAAUAUUAUAAGAAUUAUUUUGUUAAAGCUACCUCCACAAGUGAUCAUAAGAUUGUUUGCCAUUAUUGUAAUCAAAACGGUCACAUGAAAUAUAGAUGUCCCGUGAAAAUGAAUGCAUAUUAUGGUGUCAAAUGUAUUUGGGUUCCAAAAGGAACUAUUGCUAACUCUCAAGGACCCAAAAAGCUUUGGGUACCUAAAACUUGAGAUUUUCUUUGUAGGGCUUAAAGAAGAAGAAAAAUAAAUGGUACUUGGACAGUGGUUGUUCAAGGCACAUGACCGGAAACUAUGCAUGAUUCUCAAGCUUCACCAAAAUUGAAAAUGGUGGAGACGUAUCUUUUGAAGACAACUCAAAAGGAAAAAUUCUUGGAAUUGGAAAUGUUGGUAAAGUUUCAUCAACUCUAAUUGAGAAUGUAUGUUUGGUUGAGAACUUGAAACACAACUUAAUUAGUAUUAGUCAAUUAUGUGACAAAGGUUAUAAAAUUAUCUUUGAUAAAUUUAGUUGUGUUAUUGAGAAUUCAUGUGAUGGCAAGAUCUUAUUUGUUGGGAAUAGAUGUGGUAAUGUUUAUAUCAUUGACAUAAAAUGUGCAUCUACUCUUGAUAAAUGUUUUUCGGCAUUGCAUGAUGAUAAUUGGCUAUGGCAUAGAAGGUUAGGACAUGCAAGUAUGGAUUUGAUUUCAAAAAUUUUGAAAAAUGAUUUAGUUAAAGGUCUUCCAAAAAUUGGUUUUAAAAAAUAUAAGAUUUGCGAAGCUUGUCAAUUUGGAAAACAAAUCAAAACAUCUUUCAAAAAUAAAAAUCAUAUUUCUACUUCAAAACCACUUCAACUUCUUCAUAUAGAUUUAUUUGGGCCCUCUAGAUAUGCCAGUUUAAAUGGAAAAUAUUAUGCAUUUAUGAUAGUAGAUAAUUAUUCUAGAUAUACUUGGGUAUUAUUCUUAGCCUAUAAGGAUGAUGCUCUUGAUGCCUUUAAAGUGUUUUGUAAGAAAAUACAAAAUGAAAAAGGGUAUGGUAUUACAUGCAUUAGGAGUGAUCAUGGAGGAGAGUUUGAAAAUCAUGCAUUUGAGAUUUUUUGUAAUAACUUUGGCAUUGAGCAUCAAUUUUCAUCACCUAGAACUCCACAACAAAAUGGAGUUGUUAAGAGAAAGAAUAGAUCCAUUCAAGAAAUGGUUAGGACUAUGUUGAAUGAAAAUUCAUUACCUAAGUAUUUUUGGGCUGAGGCCGUCAACACCGCUUGUUAUGUUUUAAAUCGUGUGUUCAUUAGACCUAAACUUAACAAAACUCCAUAUGAGCUUUGGAAGCAUAGAAAACCCAAUAUUGGUUAUUUCAAAGUGUUUGGAUGCAAAUGUUUUAUUUUGAACACAAAAGACAAUAUUGGCAAAUUUGAUCCAAAAUCUAAUGUUGGUAUUUUUCUUGGUUAUUCAAACUCAAGUAAAGUUUAUAGAGUCUAUAACAAAAAUACACUAGUUGUAGAAGAAUCUAUGCAUGUUAUAUUUGAUGAGUCUAACCCCUCCUCUGCGGAGAAAGGAAUAAAUUAUGAUGAUGCAAAUGGAGAGUUACAAGAAGAACCAUCAAACGAUAAUCAAGAAAAUGCACUACAAAGAAAUCAAGAGGAUGAACAAGAAGAGCAAACAAAUAUGGAGCAAUAUGAAGGUACUUCUCAAACACUCCCCAAGGAGUGGAGGUAUGUUUCUUCUCACCCUAAAGAUGUAAUCUUAGGAGAUCCAUCACGAGGCGUUACAACUAGAUCAUCACUUAGGAAUACUUGUAAGCAUAAUGCAUUCAUUUUUCAAAUUGAACCCAAAUCCUUUGCGGAUGUGGAAAAUGAUGAAUCUUGGAUUAUGGCAAUGCAAGAGGAGUUAAAUCAAUUUGAAAGAAACAAUGUGUGGGAAUUAGUUCCUAAACCGGAACAUCAAUCCAUUAUAGGUACUAAAUGGAUAUUUUGAAAUAAGAUGGAUGAAUCCGGUGUGGUUGUAAGAAAUAAAGCUAGAUUAAUGGCUCAAUGUUACAACCAAGAAGAAGGAAUUGAUUUUGAUGAAACAUUUACACCCGUUGCUAGACUAGAAUCAAUUAGAAUGUUGUUGACAUUUGCAUGUCAUAAAAAUUUCAUCUUAUUUUAAAUGGAUGUGAAAAUCGCUUUUUUAAAUGGGUAUAUUAUGGAAGAAGUAUGUGUAAAACAACCCCUGGUUUUGAAAAUGAAAAACUUUCAAAUCAUGUUUAUAAGUUGUUUAAAGCCUUGUAUGGAUUAAAACAAGCACCUAGAGCAUGAUAUGAUAGGCUUAAAAAUUUUUUGUUAGAAAAUGAUUUUUCCAUGGGUAAAGCGGAUACUACUCUCUUUGUUAAACAUAAGGACAAAGACAUACUUGUUGUUCAAAUUUAUAUUGAUGAUAUUAUUUUUUGUUCUACUAAUGAAUUGUUGUGUCAAGAAUUUUCAUCUUGCAUGAGUAAUGAAUUUGAAAUGAGUAUGAUAGGAGAGUUGAAGUACUUCCUUGGACUACAAAUAAAACAAAAUGAGGAAGAAAUUUUCAUAAAUCAAGCCAAGUAUGUAAAAGAUCUACUCAAAAGAUUCGGCAUUGAUGACUCAAAGACCAAAAAUACACCAAUGAGUACAAUAACCAAGCUCGACAAAGAUGAAAAAGGCAAAGAAGUGGAUAUCAAAAUGUAUCAAGGUAUGAUCGGAUCUUUACUUUAUUUAACUGCAAGUAGACUCGAUAUCAUGUUUAGUGUAUGCUUGUGCGCUAGGGUGGGCAAAAUACACGAUCCGAUCCGACCUGACUCGACCCGAACAAUUUCGGGUUCGGAUCGGAUCGGGUUGCGAAUAUAACUCGAUCGGGUGAAAAAUUGUAAACUUGAUCGGGUUGCUUAAAAAAACAAACUAACUAAACCUAAACCUAAACGCACGCACAACACACACAAAUCACACUCACAUAGUCACAGUAGAACAGAUUCACAAGUUGUAAUAGUUGAACAGAUUCACAACAUAUGAUUCAUUGAAGAAAUCACAAACACAGAACACACAAACAAAAGUACAAAACUCACAAGACACACACACACACACACAGAGCAGUGCCGCGAUCUAUUGACUCCCAACGACCACCGCUAACGGAGGCCACACACGCUCCACCUCCAGUGUUGUGAUCUAUUGUUGUCUCUCCGAACUUCGACCAGUCCCCACCGCUGCGCGUCCAGCCGUCCGCAAUCUGCUGUUGCACGUCCGUCCAUCUGCUGCCGCCAACUACCACCGAUCUGCUGCUGAAAACUCGUUCGUGAUCUGCUGCUCCAAGGCCAAGCCUCCAACCCGAGUACCCGACCCAAGUUUUUGCCCUUUGUGACUUUUGAUUUUGAAGCUUUCAUUUCAUGGUAUAUAAUUAGCGUUAAUUUUGAAGCUUUCAUUUCAUGGUAUAUAAUUAGCGUUAAUUUUGAAGCUUUCACCCAACCUGAUUAGAACUUAAAUAACCCGAACUCAAUCCGAUUCAUUAACCCUAACCCGAUUAUACCCGAGUUCAACCCGAUUUUUUGACCCGAUCCGAACCGACCCAAAUAUAUAUCAGAUCGGAUCGGAUCGGGUUGUAUUCGGAUUAAUAUUUACCUAACCCGAAACCCGAUCGGGUUAAUCCGAACCCAACCCAAAUCCAAUUUUGCCCACCCCUGUUGUGCGCAAGAUUUCAAUCAUGUCCCAAGGAAUCCCAUUUGAUUGCUGUUACAAGAAUUUUUCGUUAUUUGAGUGGAACCAUAGAUAUUGGACUUUGGUAUCCUAGGGGAACUCAUAUAGAUUUAACAUGCUAUUCGGAUGCGGACUUUGCCGGUUAUAAAAUUGAUAGGAAAAACACUAGUGGAACUUGCUAUAUUCUAGGUCACUCACUUGUUUCAUGGUUUAGCAAGAAAUAAAAUUCUAUUGCACUUUCAAUUACCGAGGCUGAAUAUAUAGCUGCAAGAAGUUGUUGUGCGCAAGCUCUUUGGAUGAAACAAACACUUAGAGAUUAUGGUAUUAACCUAGAACAAAUUCCUAUUAAGUGUGAUAAUACUAGUGCUAUAAAUCUUUCAAAUAAUCCCAUUCAACACUCUAGAACCAAGCAUAUAGAAAUAAGAUAUCAUUUUUUGAGAGAUCAUGUUCAAAAGAGAGAUAUUGCAUUAGAGUUUAUCUCUACAGAAAAACAACUUGCCGAUAUUUUUACCAAACCCCUUGGCGAAGAACAAUUUUUGAAAAUUCGGCAUGAACUUAGGAUGAUGAAAUUUUCGCAUUAACGUCUUUAUUCAUGCUAUUGAGUGUACUGAAUUGAUUGACUUAUUGGUGAUUUAAUAUUUAAGAAAUGCUUAAACUUGAUAUUCAAAUGAUGUAUUUGCUUUGUUAAUUCUUGAUUAAUUAUAUGAAUUAAUUGCUUGAAUACAUGUUCAUGAAUCAUGCAUUAAAAUAGCUCAUAAAACAUUUUUAGAUCAAUUAAAUGAUCUUGGAAUGUAUUAUUUGCUGGCCAAAAAUUAAAUGUGCGAAAUUAUAGAUAAAAUAAACGGUGAACCGUUUUAUUCCAGAAAUAAGAUUAUAUGUCUGUAUUUUUACUCUUUCACCGUUUGAUGCAAACGGUAAACCGUUUCAAAACAGAGAGUCCUUUAACAGUUACUCCUCAGCCGUUAAGGGCUUAAGUUUUCACCGUUUCUCAUUCUUUAGCCUCUGGAAGUUACCCCUUAACAGUUUAAAUAAACGGUUAAUCGUUUUCGUGAAUAUAAAACUGUUCAAAGGUUUUUCUUCUUCCUCUUCAGUUGCCCUUUCACCGUUUCAGCCAUUGUUGCGCAACUGACGUCUCCUCUGUCCCCAAAUCUUCAUUUUCCUUGCUUUUCUUGCCAAAUCAAACCUACAACAUCAUUUCUUAUCUCCUUUAGAACACUUUCACCAAUUCAAAUCUUCAAAUCAAGCCCAAAAUUAAAAAAUCCCAAAUCUAAACCCUAACUGCCGCCGUUCGGGUUUCUUCAUUUCUAAUCCGAUUCUUCCCCUUCUUCAACCAAAUUGAGCAUCACAAUCACAUCCUCUACUCAUUCCUAAGUAAAUAAUCGGUUCAUUUUCUUCUCAUCACAUCUCUCCCGCAAUUUUCAAACUCCGUUGUGCUUCACCAUGGCUGCACCCCCUCGGAGAAAUCUCAGGCGAAAAUCUAUGCCUCCAAGGAACCCUAUACCACCACGGGAAGUCUCUGAAUUCGCAAGAAUUCAUUUCCCCAUGUUUUCCUUAGCGAAGCGGUUCGAGGAUCGCUUCAAUGGUCGAAAGGUACUUGACUCUUCUUAUGUUAAAAUAGAUGAUUUCAGUACUUUAGUUGUAUGUGGUAGAAGCGUUAGGGAUAUGCUUCAGCCUUGGGAGUCUGCCAUUGACUUUGAUGACCGAGUUUAUCCCAACUUAGUGCGAGUCUUUUAUUCGAACAUGGAAAUCUCCGCAACUCGCCUAAAUAGGAUAGUUACUCAAGUCGACGAUGUGCCUAUUGAAUUUGAUGAUGCGGAUCUAGCUGACUUUCUUGGUAUCUCUAGUGAGGGUCAUGAUAUUUACACCUCUAGGUAAGCCCUUCACUUUGACAGCUUUUGCCAUACGAAUGGAGUCCGUAAUAUUUGUUGUCGUCAAGACUUGUCUGAUGAGAUCUGUUUGCUACCGUUUCGGUCUCAACUUUUACCUCUCCAAGUUUGCAUUCUUCACUCUAUCUUACAACACAUAGUGACUCCUAGGAAGGGUCACUUGGAUGAGGUUAUGAGGUUGGAUGUUGGCCUCUUAGAUAGCCUCAUUUCAGGCCGUCCCAUUAACGUCGGCUAUGUUAUUGUGCGGCACAUGUUGGGUACUCCCGCGGUUAACCACCGCUUACUUCCAUAUGGCAAUAUCAUUACUAAGAUACUGCGACGCUUUGAGGUGCCUCUUCUUGAUACCGGCCAUAUGGAGACUAAACGGAUUGGUCCCGAGGCCAUGACUAGUAUCGAUUUUUCUAGGAAGAAUAGAGAGUGGAUAAAGACAAGCAACUCCAAAAAUCGGGAUACCUUGAUUGCUCCAGAGGACGAUCGGAUGCUCAACGAUGUCUAUCCUCCCGAUAAGCUUCCCGGUUUUAGAUUAGGAGCUCAUCCUCAUCCUUCGCGUCGCCGUUUUGUCCCUCGUCCUCCAGCUGACUCUGACUCUGACUCUGAGGAGCGUGCGAUGGAUGCUGACAUUCCCUCCUCUUCCGAGCCGCCUCUCACUCCCGAGCAGCCUCCUGCUCCUGAGCCUUCUGCUGUUCCUGAGCAACCAUCUGCCUCUGUGCCACCUCCAGCUCCAGUUCAACCCCUUACUUCAGACGUUGUGCAGCAGUUGAUUGCUGAUGUUCAUCGGAUUUCAAAGCGCCAGCAGCUGAUUCUUGAUCGGUUGGACAUUUUUUCCCGUGACCACCAGCAGCUACGUUCUGACUUUCAGACCUUCCAGCAGCAGAGCAUUGAUCAGCAGCUUGAGCUUAUCGCUGGACAGCGCACUCUUCUCCGUUAUUUCGAUUAUGAUCCGGGGAGCACAUCUUCUCCACCUCCAUAGUUUAUGAGUUCUAUUUUUGCACAUACAUUUCAUAUUUUGGUUGUUUGUGUGUUGCCAUUUAUAUUUUUAUAUACACUGCUACCUCUAUAUGCUCUUUAUGGAUUUUGAUGACAUGUUUUUGUGAUGUUCUUGAUGUUGGAUGAUUUGAUAUUGUUUGCUGAGAUUUUUGGUUCAUUGGUUAAUGAAGUGUUGGUUUGUUUGUUCAGGGCGUUGUUGGAUGAUGGAGUUAUUGUUAAUAUAUUUUGGAAGUGUUUAAUCUCCUUUUGUAUUAGUGGUUUUGCUCCAUUUUAAGGGGAAACUCUGCCAAAAUUUUCGCUCGUCUAAACCGGGUAACUUCUUUAACGGAUUUGCGGUUUUCCUUUCUCUCUUUUCUUUUUGAUGAUGAAGGGGGAGAUAAUUAUGAGGAGAUUUAAAAUGAAUUUAAUAAUUAUGGGGAGAUUUAAAAUGAAUUUAAAAAUGUUUUCUUGAGUAAAAAUCUGUUUAUUGGACAUUUCUUAAUUUGGCCAUACAUUUAAGGGGAGUAAAAUAUUGAAUAAAGUUUGUCAUCAUAAAAAAGGGGGGGAUUGUUAACAUGAAUAUAUUAAUAAUUUUGAUUUUGAUGAUAAUAAACUUUAAAUGAUUUUUUAUUAAAAUGUUGGAGCUAUUCUUUAAUAAAUGAAUGCCUUAUAAUCAUUCCAACCAUUCUCUUAAAAAAUGGACUUUCAAAAUAAAAAUGACUCUCUGCAAAAUCUAGUUUAAAAUGUGAUUCUGGAAAUAAACGGUGAAUCAUUUUCUUUCAAACGGUUAACCGAUUAAAACUAGAGAGCAACAUUUUGCCUAAGCUCUAACCGAUUAAGAAAAAUGGAAAACACAAAAAGCUGGGAAGGCUACUGGAAUUUAACGGUGAACCGUUUAUUUAAACGAUUAACCGAUAAAAUUCAGAAUUGAAGGUUGUACUCUUCUGGCACCAUUUAACAAAACCGGAUAAGGCUAAAUUGCUUUGCAGGUUACUGAAAACAAACGGCGAACCGUUUAUUACAAACGGUCAACCGAUAAUAUCCAGAGAGGUCACUUCAUGUAAAUCCUUAACCGUUUAAUGUAAACGGAUAACUGAUGUUCAUCUUGCAGGUCUCUGGAAUUUAACGGCGAAAGGGUAAUCCUAAACGGCAAACCGUUUAUUUAAAAUUUGGCCCAACGGUAACUUUUGACCAGCCUAAACGGUUAACCGUUAAUGGUUAAAGGCGAACCGUUUUCGAGCCGACAGUUUGUAACGGCUAGUUUUUAAGCUCCAAAUAUAAAUAGGCUCAUUCAAAUUCAAAGAAGAUUGAUCACAACACGACUAUUGAGCAUAUACUUGAGUAUACAAUCUUCAUAGAGCUUUAAACACAUUCUUGCUUCAUCUAUUCACAUAUUGGGCACCAUUAUGUAAUUUUAAAUAUUGUGAGAGGCAAAACAAAUUUGAAAUAUUUUGUUUUGAGUGAUUGUAAGUGUUGGGAUACACUUGGGUUAAAGAGAUUGGAAUAAUCUCUUGUUGUAAAGGUUCAUUGACACCUUGGAAGUCAAGUGUAAGCUUUUGAAGCCUUGGAGGCUUGCUUAGUGAAAUCCUCAAGCUCGGAAAGCUUGGAGGCGUGGACAUAGGCGAGGUUAGCCGAACCACAUAAAAAUCUUCGUGUUUGAAUCUCUCUUCCCUUAUCUUUUUAUAUUGUAAUUGAUUUAAUUGCUAUUCCUUUAAAUUCAUUCUAGAUUUGCAUGAUAAUUUGUCUUAGAAUCAAAUAAUUUUUAGAAUCCCAAUUCACCCCCCUCUUGGGUUGCAUACUUGUAUUUCACUUGUCAAUUUCGAACCCUAGAUUUGUAAAACUUAGAAACCCUAGAUGUGUUCUUGUCAAAUUUGAACCCUGUAUACCUAAAUCUUGAAAAUCCUAGAUGCGUUCUUGUCAAAUUUGAACCCUAUACAUGUAAAAGUUGAAAACCCUAGGUGUGCUCUUGUUAAAUUUGGAUCUAUUUGAUUGGUCUUUUAUGUUUAUUUAUUUAUGAAAUUUUAAAAAAUUAUUCAUUUUUUUUAAUUUAAUUGUUAUAGUUUUAUUAUUAAAUUUCAUUUUGGCUGUAAAUAUCCUUGCCAAUUUAAUUGUGAUGGGUGUUAGGAUAUUAACUAGGCUGGUUUAUCAUUUGGGCUUUUCUAAUAACUAUUUUUUUUCACUUUUUGUGGAUGCAUGGAACUAUAUAUAUAGAUAGUUCUCAAAUUCAUUCACUGUGAGGCAAAGUCGUUUUUUUUCAUUGGUUAAAUUUACUAAUUCGUUGAAAUUACCGAAGCUUAGAACUACAAAAUCAGACAUAGGCUUUGCUCUUGACUGUGACAAAUCACUUGCAUGUAGCCAUAUGUUCACUAUCUUCGAAUUGGGGAUCUCCAAGUAUUUGAUAAAAAGCGUGAAUGAAUCUUGGCACUUUAAUUGUUGCAGUCCAUUUCAAUCUAUGAGGAGCCAAGGAAUAUGAAGCUUAUUUUGUUCAUUCGUAAAGCAAAGCUAAUACAAUUCAUGGCAAAGCUUGAUGAGGUGUUGUAUUUAAUCUUGCUCAUGCUUAGUCUAGGUGUACAGUUCAUCUAUCACAUAUUGUUCAAUUUAAGUUGACAUAUUGUUGCUUUGCUUUUUGAAGGACUGAGUUGUGUUAACUUACAGGAAUUCAAGAAUCGUGAGAAUUUAAAUCUAUAUUUUAUAUUUUAUAUGACAUGUUUUGGGGUGUAUGGGCGGGCCAUAAAGAAAACCGUACAGGCUUUGUUAAGGCCCAAAGCGAACAAUAUAUCGUCAUAUCUGGGUUUGGUCAUAACAGAUGGUAUCAGAGUGGCUCCGCGUGUCCUUUUAAGGGAUGGUGGGGUAAAUCUCAGGGAGGACGCUGAGUCCUUAAGGAGAGUGUAUGUAACACUCUAGAUGAAUCCCACAUUGGCAAAGCACGGAAGAAAUGCUGAGUUUAUAAGGAUCAACAUCUUAAUUGACAAGACGCGUUUUGGGGUGUAUGGGCACCCAAAAACAAAAUUGUGUGGCGCCCAAAGCGGACAAUAUCUUGUCAGGUAUGGGUUGGGUCAUGAUAAUUUAAAUUACUAAACCUACACCCAUUGCGGGUUUUAAUUUUUUAAGAAAACCCACCUGUUGUGGUUUUUAUAAUUACCAAACCCACAAUGGUAUUCAGUGGAUUUUUUGCGGGUUCUCACAUUUAAAAUCACAAUUGAGUAAUAAAUGAAUAAUGAAAUUUCCUUUUGUGAUUUUAAAAAAUGGAUGGAGUAAAAUUAUGUCAAAGGCAUUACACAUAUUUCUACCGAGUAACAAUUUGGAACUUUGUGCUUUGAAGAAGAAUUGUAAACUUUAUUAUAAUUUCAAGAACUCAACACUCCUCGUUGUUUUUUAUCUACAAAUGAUUCACUUGAGCACCAGUUACAGAAAACUAAUUAGCAGUAUAUCUUGAUCUUUGGCAGUAGUUGUAGGGCUGAUGCCAGUGAAGCUCCGAUAAUAUUAUUGCCUUCAAUAUUACUAUUUCACUCUUGAUUUUUCAGGAUCUUGGCUCAUUGUAGGAAAGCAUGUUACUUUAGGAUUGAAUGAAGUAAGUGGCUGAUUAACUAGUGGGAAGAAAUUACAUAGCCCGUAAUUUUUUUUUAAAAUUUUCAUUUUUAAAGAGAAAAAAAAUCAUUUUUGAGGUUAAUUAUCUAUCUUGUUGAACUGUAUUCUUGUAAUUGAGAUCAAUUUGAAGUUGAUGGCUUGUUUUUCAGAAAGAAAAUCUGAAGGAUGUGAUUGAUUAUUUACGGGACGAUGGAAAUGUCUCUAUGAUUAGAAUUUUUAAGACGUGGAACUCUUGAACCCUAUGUUUAGUUAUAUACUUAUAUUAAUUAAUAUGAUGGUUUUAUUAUUAUUAUUAUUAUUAUUAUUAUUAUUAUUAUUAUUAUUAUUAUUAUUAUUAUUAUUAUUCGUAGCGGCUACAAAAGAUUAAAAGAACUUAAAGGUGUGGCUUGUGGCUUUCUUGCUAUUUGGGCUUUAACUGCUGCCUCACCUGUCAUUGCUGCUAAUCUGGUGUGCCACUUCCAUUUUAGUGUAAUUACAUAAGUUAUUUUACUUGAUUGAUUAAUUAAUUAAUUAGUUCGUGGAUUGAAUAGCCAAAUUGAUGAAUUUUCAUGUCUUGGCUUUGGGGCUGUUGGAUUUUGCCGCUGGAAAACUACAUUUUGUAAUUUUGCUGCUGCAAGACUGAAUUUUGCAUAGAUUUGAUGCUGGAUGUUGAUGAAUUUUCAUGUCUUGGCUUUGGGUCUGCUGGAUUUUACUGCUGGAAGACUACAUUUUGUAAUUUUGCUGCUGCAAGACUAAAUUUUGCAUAGAUUUGAUGUUGCUGAAUGUUGAGUACUUUGCUUGGUUUUGGUUUGGACUUUGUUGCCUAUUGGCUUGACUUUGGAAUAUUGAUCAACUAAUGUAAUGUAAAGUUUGAAUUGCAUGUUUUCGAAAUUUAGAAGUACUUUGGAUAUUUCUAUGGAUAAUAAAGUUCACUAAUUUAGUUCGUUGGUUUUGGAUUUAAUUGCAUUUAGUAAUUUAUUUUCUUUCAUAUAAUUUUUAUAAUUUAAAUUUUAAAUUGAGGAAGCUAAAAUUGCACAAUUUUAUUUUAAAUUAAUAAAUAAAAUAAAUAAUCAUUUUUUUUCAAAAACACACAAUUGAUAUCCACACAAAAAAAAAUACAAUCCAAAAUUUUCUAAAAUAAUGAAAAUAUAAAAUAAAAAAUUAAUUUCCCUCUUUUAAGUUGUAUGACAUAAUUAUGACAGGUAAAAUUUAUCACAACUCGUGACAUGGUUUUAUCUGUCAUCUUUUCUUGACGCUGACUACAAUAACGGUAAGGAUAACCGUCAUCCACCCCCUACGAUGACAGUUUUUCCCUGUCAUGAUAGGUUCUUUUUCUUGUAGUGCCAUUAAACUAAGAUUCUACCAUCGAUUAAUAAAAAGAGAGAUUGUUAGUUUCUCCUCUAUUGAAAUCAAUAUAUACCACUUAUUUCUGUUAUUUAUAUAAUAACUAAAAUCCCCAUGGCAAAAAAUAUUUAAGCAAAAGGAGUAGAUAAGUCUUUGUUUAAUAUUUUAUCUUUGGAGUACAAAAUAUAUUUUUGUUAAAGAAAAAUUUCUAAAAAGUAACAAAAAAUACAAGAAAAUAUCUUGUUAUUAAUUUUUUUUACUGAUCCCAAAUAUAUUUUUUUAAUUUUUAAUUAUUGAAUUGACAAGUAAAAUAGAAUUGUCGUUAGAAAAGCCUGUAGACUGAACUAUCUGAGCCUUGAAAUAUGCUUUGAUUAGGUAUCCAAUUAGAGUUAAGGUAUAGAAACUAUAGCUAGUGUCCCGACUUGAAACCACCAAAGAGUAUAAUCACUAGAGAUGUAAUGUUUAAUGAAUCACAGAUAAUACAAGAAAAGAAAAAAUAUAUUGAUUAAGUGAAUGGGAAGGAUGAAGGACUAGAUAAGUCUCAUGCGCAGAGGGGUCUAGAGCUCACGAGCAAUCAAGCCGAGGAAAAUGCAAGUGAUGCACAAAAAGAAUGUAGAAUUGGAAGUUAUGAAGAGUUUGAAGGUCAAGCUAGUAUUAAGAACUAUUGACUACCAAGGUAUAGACAAAAAAAGAGUAUCAAAAGCAAUAAAAAGGUUGGACUAUGCUGAUAUAAUGGCAUAUGUUUUUGCAGCAGUGCAUAAUCUAUAUCAAGAAGAACCAAGUAUCUAUAAAGAAACUAUUGAGAGUCAGUAAGCAGAUCAAUUCAAAAAAGUUGUGCAAGAAGAAAUUGAGAAAUAUUUAAUUAAAUUUGGCUAAACUUAUAAAACUAGAUCAAUCUCAUAAGUGGUAUCAGAGUGAUGUAGUUAACUUUUGUUUGGUGAGUUAUUAGGAUUUUUAUAUCUUUUUAUAGGCAUGAAUAUAGAAGAAUGGUCUAGUUCACACCUACCAUUGUUAAAUGGUGUUGAGUAAAAUGUAGAGUUCAUAACUCUAAUUUUACCACUCAAAGGUUCACUUAAUACAACACUCAACACAACUUUUAUUGCUUAUAAGAAAGCUUGCUCUAGAUACAAUACAAGCUUAUAAGGAAGGGUUUAUAUAACAUCACAAAUACAACAAUAACUAUACAAUGUGCUAGGCACACUAAGCAUAUUUAUUAAUCACAAAUAUUUCAUCAUCACACAUGUAUCCCACUUCUUUUUUUAUUGCUUACAAACUCCAUUCCAUUAUAAAACUUUUAAACUAACAAUAGAAGAUUUCAUGGGUUGGAUUUUUUCAAUUAGGAUGGCAUUUUAUACUUUAACACUCCCCCUCAACACCAGCUUCCAUCCUUUUCGCUAUACUAGGCUAAAGAAAAAAGCUUUUAAACUUUCCAGCAAUCAAAAUUUUCACGAACAAAUCUGAAACUUGCUCAUUUUUCUUGAUGUAUUGUAGUUCAACUUUAUGUUUCAAGACUUUUUCCCUGACGAAGUGAUAAUACGCCUCCAUAUGCUUAAUUCUUUCAUGAAAGACUGGAUUCUUAGCCAAACGUAUUGCUGAUUGAUUGUCAUAGAACAAUAGAGUAGCAUAAUCAAUUGGUUAAUAUAGAUCAUUAAUCAGCAAUAUCAACCAUGUAGUUCUUGAGCUGCCAUUGUAGCUAUUCUGUACUCAGUUUCUGUCAUUGACAAGGACACAAUCAACUGUCUCUUACUACAUCAAGAAACCAUUCUAAAAUCCAGUUUAAAUAUAUAUCCAAUGGUUGAUUAACAAGUAUCAUGAUCUCAUGCAUAGUUAGCAUCACAAUAGCCAACUCGCUUGCAAUCUUCACCUUUCUUGCACAAAAGACCAUAGUUAAUUUUACCUUUUACAUAUCUCUGUAUUCGCUUAACUUCUUCUAAAUAUGGCUUCUUUGGAUUUGUAUAUAUCUAUUUAUCACAUUAAUGACAUAAGAAAUGUUAGGUCGAGUCAAGGUUAAGUGGAUAAGAUAACCUACUAAUUGUUGAUACAUUGUUGCAUCUUCUAAGUUUUUUCUUUCAUGUGCACACAUAUUGCCAUUUGUUUCCAUUGGUGUUAAGAAAUAUUCCUUCUUGUGUGUAAUCAACCUCGAGACCAAGAAAAUGCUUAGAUUGUAUAAAUCCUUUCAUCUCGAUAUGAACUAAUAAGCUCUAUUUUGUUCAAAGGAUUUCUGCCUCAUUAUCACUGAUUAUAAUUAUCUUCCAUUAGCUUUAACCAACAAGCUGGAAUCUGCUGGUGUUACUAAAUAACUACUUUUAGUUAGAAAUUUAACAAUUUUACCAUACCACACUCUAGGUGCUUGUUUUAAUCUGUAUAGUACUUUCUAGAGCUUACAUACAUAUUUACGAUGAUCAUGGUUUCAAAGUACCAUUAGUUGAAUCAGAUAGAUCUCUGAUCUCACUCUCCAUGAAGAAAGACAUUCUUCACAUCUAUCUGCCAUAAGUUUCAGUCUUUAUUGGUUGUAAGUGCAAGUACAACUCAUAUAGUUAUAAAUUUUACCACCGGAUUAAAUGUUUCAUAAUAGUCUAGUACUUACUUCUGAAAGAAACCAUGAGCUAACAACUGAGCAUUGUGCCUCUAAAUUGAGUCAAGAUAACCAUAUUGAAGUAUACAACACCAGCCCAAUUGAAGAGAUCCUGCCCAUGGAACGUUCUACUGUUAGUUUAAAAGUUUUAAAAUGGAAUAGAGUUGAUAAGCAAUAAACAAAGAAGUGGAAAUAUUUGUGAUUAAUAAAUAUGCUUAGUGUGUCUAGAUUGCAUGGCGAUUAUUGCAUUUGUGAUGCGAUAUAAACCCUUCCAUGUAAGCUUGUAUUGUAUCUAGAGUAAGCUUUCUUAUAAGCAAUAAAAGAAGACCUAAUAGAAUUUUUUUGCUGCAUCCAAACUAAUAUCAGUCCAACAUAUUUCAUGAAUAAAAUGUGACCAAUUAACCAACCAGGUCCAAUCAUUGAUCCAAAAAUUUCUACAAUAAAUUUUGGUAGGUCACUAAUAUAGUUCCCUAUCAGCGAUUUUGCUAUUUCUUGAAAUCAUUUUGCUGAAAUCUGGGAGGGAUCCUCUGGAUGAGUAGAAAACGUAAAGUAAGUAAGGCUUUGAAUGCUUUGCUUUUGUAUAAAAUUAGUAAUAUUCUAACUAGAUCAUGGAAUCGCUUUUCACUCAGUCAUUGAAUCACUACAAGUGACGGAGAUACAUGAUUUAAAUAAGAAAAAAGCCAAUAUUUAAAAAAUGUAUUGAGUAAAUUUUUUCUUUGAGCAGAAAAAUUAGUUGUGAAUUCUACAUUUUUAUUCAACAUUUGGUAUCAAAGGGAGUUUAUCGGUGUUAUAAAUAGCAGUGUAGCAUAUCAAAUCAAAGAUCCAGACGAGAAGUACACGAUGCCGAAAAAAUCAGACUGAUCAGACCACAUGCACUUGCAAUUGCCGCCAAAAUUUCUGCCCAUAAUUUGAGAUGACCAUUGGUCAAUGUUGAUCAUUAACCCAAGUUGACUAUUGACCUAAAUUCCUUCCAAGAUUUUUCGACGUUCUGGUUUUAUUCGUGCGAUCAAAAUUUCUAAAUUCUGACUUUUGAUGGAGUUGUCUUGAGUUGUGAGAAGUUUGUAAUUCUACAAGAUUGAUAGUCAAGCUUGUUUGAUAUUGUUAAAAUCUUGUCCACAUAAUGGGUGAUGUUCACAUAGUUGGAGGAAUUAAGACGCUUUACCAAAACUAUAGCACAUGGGUAAUGUGUAAUGAGUCUCACCUAAAAGGUCAAAACCUUUGGGAGAUUGUGGGUGGUAGUAAAGCUAUGGAACUAACGACAGAAGAUAAUAAUGGCGUUUUGUGAAAGUGAAAGGAUAAAGCAGGCAAGGUAAUGUUUGCUUUAAAGACCACAAUUAAAGAAGAAAUGUUGGAGCACAUUUGGGAUGCCAAAACACGAAGGAAGCUUGUAACAUGUUGCAUAAAUUAGCAAGUGUACUAGUCAGCAUAAAAAAUAUAAUGAAAAGUAGAGUAUCGUCCUAUAGAGAUUGUAUAUCCUAUUAACUACUGAAUUUUUUUUAACCCAAAUUUAUUUGAAUAAUCGAAUAAGUGAAUUUAGAUUAAAAAUUAAAAUAAAAUAAGGCAACUAAAAAUUAAAUAAAUAUGCAAGCAGUAAUAGAAAUUACCAAGAGAUUAAGACAUUAGGACAUCUGAUUUCACCAUAACUAAUCCAAUUUAAUCCCCCAUCUAUGCUAUUAAAGGUUAUUAUCCAUGUUGACAAUUAAAUAACCCUAAUUCCUUUGAUACUUUUUCUCAAGCAAUACCAUGUACUAAUAUACCAUAUCUCGACGUGCAUUACAACAUAUGAAAACUCAUUAAAGUUUGUGGUAAUUAACUGCACGAAUCAGGUUAGUACAUCUGCAUUGAAAACUCAUUAAAGUUUGUAGUAAUUGACUACACGAAUCAAGUUACAACAUCUUCGUCUCCCAUGUUAUUCAUGACAUUCAUUACAUAGAGUAAAAAUAUAUAAAUCUCCUUUCGAUCUCAUUAUGUAUUCUCAAAUCAUUCAAAUAUUAGUCAAAUGUUUAAAAGUAUUAAGUACAAUAAUGAAUACUCAAUCAUUGAAUAAUAAACUAAAAAUAACACAAAUUUAUGGAAUUAAAUCAUCAUAGUUAGGCAUUGUGACCCUAGCAAAAUAAAUUAGUUCAUGGAAAUAUAAAGAGAAUCCAUAAAUUUAAUUGGGAGCAUUCAAGCAAGACAAUUCAUAAAUUUAAUUAGGAACAUCAAAGCGAGACAAUUAGAAAAGGGAAAGAAAAACUCAAUCAAAGCGUUUUCUUCCUUCAAAUUGCUCCUAUUGCUUUCAAACUUUUUUCUAAUUACUAUGGUUGCUACUCUUUUUCUAAUUCUCUCUUCCUUUUUCGAUUUUGUCUUUCUCUUGACUUUUGCUCGUGCCAUCUUUUUUUUUGUCUCAAUCGGUGGCCUUCUUUAUUAAUAAUGUUGACCGCCUCAAAUCCUUAACUCAAUAGGAUUUAAAACAAGCCAAUAAAGUAAACCGACAAUAAGCCCAUCACUUGAAGCCCACCAAAUUCAAUUUUAGGCCGAAGCUUAUGCCAAAUUCUUCAAAUUUUCACGUGCCAUUUUUACGAUAUAAUCCAAUUCUAUUGCCUUCUAGUGUUCCACGUGAAUGCAUGCAUGAUGGAUAAUUAAAUUGCAUCUUCCUUGAUUUCUUCAAUUAAAUUUCUUUAUUCCUUUCUCAUUCUAAUUCUUUCGAGUAGAUUUCUUUUUAAAUGUUCCGAUUUAAUUUCUCUUUAAUCUAAGAAUAUACUUAAAAUAACAAAAUAUAAAAAAUAAGAUAAAAAUUAACAUAAUAAAAUAUUAUUUAACAUAAAAUUAAGUUACGGAGAUAUUAAAUAAUAUAUAAAUUAUGAGCACAUGAGGACACUCUUGUUGCAUGUUUAUCAAAGAAAACAAUACAAAGUUGCAACUUCUUGAGAACGAGUUGUUAAUGAUUGUGCAACUUAACGUGACGAUUGCUCAAUACUUUCACAAGGUGAAGUUAAUACACAGUGAAAUUUCAGAGUUAGUUUUGAUAGCUGCUUUUAGAGAAUCCAGGAUAAAAAGAAUAAUUGUCCAUAGUUUGAGACCCUAAUAUCAAAGCUUUAUUGUUUCGGUACAAGGAUGGCCAACAUAAUCAUCACUUGUUAAGUUACUAAGCAAGAGGGAGAAGUCUUACUAAAAGGUAAGGAAGAAGCACUCAUCAAGGCGAGAGAGGUUCGUCUAGGGGGGCGUUUCAAAGAAUCAUGAUCAUAAAAAAUAAAAAUAAAAAGUUUAAUGUCAAAUGUUUCAGUAGUGAAAAGAAUGACCAUAUGGCCAAAGAUUGUUGGUCUAAGAAGAAGAAGCUCAUUGAGAGUAAUGUUGUUACUUAUAGCUUUAUAAAGAAAAGCAAAGAUGACUGGAAUACUAAAGCAUCAUUUGUUGUGGAGGAAGAAGAAUUAGCUCUCACAGUGACAACCACAUAACAAAUUGACCACAAAAAUGACCGGAUUGUUGAUUAUGAUUGCUCAAAUCACAUGACCAAUAACAAACAAAAGUUAAAGAAAUUGUCCGAGUAUAAAAGAAGUCAAGUAGUAGUGACAACCAACAAUUAGAAGUUGCAAAUAGCUCAUAUUGGUAAAACCAUAAUUAUGCCCCAAUAUAGUCCCAACUAAGUACCAAUCCAAGACGUCUAUCAUGUCCUAGGUAUGAAGAAAAAUCUACUUUCAAUGUCAAUUAUGUCGUCAUCAGGCCACUAUGUCUUUUUCAGCUUGCAAGAUAUUAAUGUGUAUCAUGACCUUAAUAUUUCAGAAAAGCCAAUGAUAGUAGGUUGAGGUUUGGAGCUAGUAUAUAUAAUAUCAGCAAGUUUGCAUAUGUAAACAAGACAAAAAUAGACAGGACAAUAGAUUUAUGGCACAUGUCGUUAGGUCACAUUAGCAACUCCAAGUUAAGUAUAAUGGUAAACGACUAAAUGCAUAAGGAGCUUUCUAAACUUGACAUGAGAACAAAUAUUAUUUGUGUAGGAUGUCAAUAUAGUAAAGCACAUCAACUACCAUACAAAGAUUUAAAGUUUAGAGCAAAUGAACCAUUAGUGUUCGGGCCUAUCAAGCAACUAUUAGUUGGUGGAAUAUGGUACAUAGUGAGGUUCAUUAAUGAUUUCCCCGGAUAUGUGUGGCUUUUCUUUAUGAAAGAAAAAUCUAACACAUUUUCCAAGUUUAAAGAAUCUAGAAAGCUAGUUGAAGGAGAAGUUAAAAGAAAGAUCCACUGUUUUCGCAUAGAUAAUAGAGGAUAAUGCUAUUCCGGUGAGUUUUCACAAUAUUAAUGGGAAUUUUAAAUAUACCACCAAUAGACCUGUGACAAUAUGCCACAACAAAACGGUUUAACAAAAAGAAUUAACCAGCAUCUUACAAAAGUUUGUCGAAGCAUGCUAUAUGCAAAGAGUGUACCUGGAAGGUUUUGGGCCAAAACUAUGAGAACCGCAUCUCAUGUGAUCAAUAAACUUCCCUAACCUAGUUUACAGUUUGUUUCACCCUUUAAAAAACUAUGCGACAUGAAACUUAUAGUUACUUAUUUUUUAGUAUUUGGUUGUGUUUGCUAUGUAUUUGUUCCUCGUCAUUUACAUAGCAAAUUUGAUAAGAAAGCAGUUAGAUGUAUCUUUAUGGCAUACGACAGUUAAAAUGUUCCCCCUUCUUUGGUUUUAAUUUCACUUUAAAUUCACUUGAUUCUAGCAACACCUAUUUUUUUUAGGACCAGUAAUAAAAUGCUUCAUCAAACACUACAUCAUGUGAAGGUAACAUAUUUUACUUGUACGAUCACAACAUUUCCAACCUUUUCUUUGACUGUCGUAUCCCAUAAAGAUACAUCUAAUUGCUUUCUUAUCAAACUUGCUAAAUAAAUUAUCAUGAACAAAUACAUAGCAAACACAGUCAAAUACUCAAAAAUAACUAAUUGCAUGUUUCAUGUCCCAUAGUUUCUCAAAAAUGAAACAAACUCCAAGCUAUGCUAGGGAAGAUUAUUGAUCACAUGGGCUAUAGUUCUUAUAGCUUCGGCUCAAAACCAUCUGAGUACAUUCUUUGCAUAUAACAUGCUUCGAUAGACUUCUGCAAGAUGUCAGUUCUUUUUUUCUGCUAUAUCAUUCUGCUAUGGCAUAUUGGCACAUGUAUACUAGUGGCGUAUUUGACAUUCCUGUAUAUUGAGAAAACUCACUUGAGUUAUAUCCUUCCCCCUUAUCUAUGUGGAAGUAGCGGAUCUUCUUUCCUGCUUCUCCUUCAACAAUGAAUUUUUUAAACUUUGAGCACAUGUUAGAUUUUUCUUUCAUAAAGAAGACCUACAUAUACCUAGAGAAAUCAUCAAUGAACAUCACCAUGUACUGCAUUCCACCAACUAACGGUUUCUUGAUAAGCUCGAACACAUCAAAAUGUAUCAACUCUAAUAGUUCUUUUGGUUCCUUGUACGGUAAUUGAUGCGCUUCACUAUACUCGCAUCUGUCACAAAUAGUAUUUAUUCUCACAUCAAGUUGAGGAAAUCCUUUAAGCAUUUACUUAUUUACAAUUAUACUCAGCAUGGAACAGCUAACAUGAUCCAACCGCAUGUGCCACAAAUUUAGGGAUUCGAAUGUAGGUACAUCUAGAUCCGAAUCCAUAUUGACAUUUUUAUAUCUGAAUGCGGGUAAUAUCCGACUAGAUUGCAAGCGGAUAUCCCAUAUCCAUAUCCACAAAAAUUAAAUUUAACAAUUUAAAAUAUAAUUUAAAAAUUCAACAAUUUACCAAAUUAAAAUCCCAAAACCUAAUUAAAGUAAUUUAUAAAGUGAGUUAACAUAUGUGAAAAAAAUGAGAUUAAGCAUUUAUAUUAUAUUGAAAAUUAAUUACUCUAAUGCAUUUAAUCAAUUUAAUCAAAGUAAUUAAUUGAGAAAAUUAAUCAAAAUUAAAUUGAAUUGAAUCAACAAAGAAAAUUAAAUUGAGCCAGUAAACUUUCAAAGUAUAAACAAGUUACAUUAGAUUGAACUCACUAAAUUCACUAAAUAUAAUCAAACAAUCAACCAAAAUACCAAAUCAUUAAUAAAUAAAAAAUGCCAUGUAAUUAAUAGUACUAAAGAAACAAAAACCAAAGAGAAAAUUAUCGGCAAGAAAGAUCCAACCAGGAGAGGCUUGGACGACGGCAACGUAUGCAGCGACAGUAGCAUGCUCAUGGGAGGCUUCAAUGACGGUGAAGCUUAGAUGGCAGAGGGGCCUACAUCGUGUACUGCCAGCAGUGGGCUAAGGUAAGGCUUCGACUUGACCCUUAGGCAAGGCCACGAGGCAGACAAUGAUGGGCUAAUGGCAUUACAAUCCUUGCGGAUUUAAGGGCAUUGGGCUUUAGGGAUUUGUGGUUUGCAGUUUUUUGUGAAGUAUUCUGAGUGUGUGUGAAUGUAAUUGACAUUAGGGUUAGGGACUUAGGUUAGAUUUGUUUUUAAUUUAAGUUAAUAUAUAUAUUUUUUUAAUUUAAUAAAAAAUUUAACUGAAUCCGGAAAUCUAUUAUUCCAAGUGUACUUGCAUCCCGAUCUAGAUCUGGAUCCAUGGAUUCUAAUUUUUCACAUCUGAGUUUAUAUUUUUUAAUAUGAAGAUUCAGAUUUUUCUAGAUCUGAAUCAUCUUCAUCCUUGCAGAUGUGGUUUAGAUUUAGAUUUUAUUGUCAUCCUUACACAAAUCUAUUAUCUAGUUCAUUCUUUUUUUUAUACAUAUGUAGAUUCUGCUGACAUUAUAUAAACUGACUCUAAUCAUCGUCCCUCUAUUAUUGGUUUUUCUAAAAUAUUAAGGUUAUAAUACAAUUAAAAUAUUGUGGGCCGAAUAAGAUAUAAUGGCCUGGUGACGUCAAUUGAUACACUAAAAGUUGAUUUUUCUUUAUGCAUGGAACAUGAUAGACUUCUUAGAGUGGUACAUGGUUGGGACUAUAUCAAGGCGCAAUUACAGUUUUAUCAAUGUGAGCUAUUUCUCUUAUACUCAGAUAAAUUCUGUAACUUCUGUUUACCUAUGACUAUCUGAUUUGAGUAACCUUAAUUAACAAUCCAAUCAUUCUUGUAUUUAAUCUCUUCCACGGUUGUCACUAUGAGAGCCAAUUCUUCUUCCUCUAUAGUGAAUGAUGCUUCAGUAUCCCAGUCAUUCUUCAUUUUUCUCUUUAGAGCUAAAAGUAACAGCAUUACUUUUAAUGAGAUUCUUUUUUUAGACCAAUAAUUUUUUGCCACAUGGCCCUUCUUCCUAUAAUUGAAACAUUCGCCAUCAAACUUUUUAUUACUACCACGAUUCUUUAAAGCUUCCCCUAGAUGAGAACCUCCCUCUCCUUGAUGACUUUCUGUUUUGUCAUCAUUCUUUUUAGACCCACCUCUACUGUGUUAAUGGGGUUACCUUUGCUUUUAUUCGUAUAGAGUGCUUCCUCCUUACUUGUCAGCAAGACUUCUCCCUCUUGCUUAGCCAUUACUUCUUAAUUGGCAAGUAAAUGUUCAAACUCAACAAGUGAUGAUUGUGUUAGCCAUGGACAAUUAUUCUUUUUAUCCUAGCUUCCUUAAGAGCAACUGUUGAAUUUAACUCUGAAAUUUCACAGCAUAUCGACCUCACCUUCUGAAAGUAUUGAGCACUUGUCAUGCUACAUUAUGCAAUUAGUAGAACUCACUCUUAAUAAGUUGCAUUUUUGUAUUAUUUUUCUUUGAAAAACAAGCAGCAAGAGCAUCCCAAGCUUCCUUCGGUGUUUUGGCAUGCUGAAUGUGCUCCAACAUUUCUUUUUCAAUUGUAGUCUUUAAAGCAAACAUCACCUUGCUUGUUUAAUUUUCCACUUUCACAAAACACCAUUGGUCUUCUAUCGUUAGUUGUGUAGCGCUACUACUACCGACAAUCUCCCAAAGGUCUUGACCUUGUAGGCAAAACUCCAUGAACAUUGGCCACGUAUUAUAGUUUUGGUUGUUAAGCACUUGACUCCUCUAACUACUUAUCAUAUUGGCAAGAUUUCAACUAUACCGAAUAAGCUUGACUAACAAUUUUAUAGAAUUACAAACUUCUCACAACUCUAGAUAACUCCACCAAGGAGUUAAAGUUUGGAAAUUUUGACCGCACAAAUAAAACCAAAACAUUAAAGAAUCUUGGCUGGAAUUCAUAUCAACCUUCAGUCAAAGGUCAACAUCAGUCAACAAUCAACGUCGGUCCAUGGUCAACUCAAAUUCUGGGCAGAAAUUCAGACGACAAUUGCAACCGCAUUUGGUCUUUGAUCAGUCUAAUUUUUAUAGCGUUGCAUUCUUCUCGUUGAGAUCUUUGAUUUAAUAUGCUACACUAUCAUGUAUAGCAUUGAUAACCUCACUCUGAUACCAAAUAUAGAGUAAAAAUGUAGAGUUUACAACUCUAAUUUUACCACUCAAAGAAGAAAUUCACUUAAUACUAGACUCAACACCACUUAUGUUACUGGUUAUAAGAAAGCUUGUUUUGGAUAUAAUACAAGCUUACAAAGAAGGGUUUAUAUAGCAUCACAAAUGCAAUAAUAGCCACAAAUGUGCUAAACACACUAAUAAUAUGUUUACUUAUUGGGAAUGGGAAUGAGAAUGUGAAUGGAAAUGAAUGACGUGUUUUGGGAAUGAAUGAUGUGCUUACUUAUUUAAAUGAGAGGCGGAAUGAGAAUCAAAUUGGUGGGCCCCACUUAAAAUUGAGAAUCAAAUAGGUGGAAUGAUUACCCUCCUCCUCCUCCUCCUCCUCCUCCUCCUCCUUCUCCUUCUUAUUAUUAUUACUGUUAUUAUUAUUAUUAUUAUUAACAACAAUUAUAAUUAUUAUUUAUAUUAUUACUAAUAUUAAUGACAAUAAUCAACUAAGAUCAAUUUAGUAACUUGCAACAAUCUAUUCUAAUUUUAACACAAAGUAAAUACAUCAAUGGCAAUAGAGUUCAUUCCGAUUCUAAUUCCCAUAGUAAAGUAAACAAUUUAUUCUAAUUUCCAUUUCCCAUUCCGGUUCCAUCCCAUUCCAAUAUCGCUUCAUUCAAAUUACUGAUUAGUAAACAUACCAUAAGCAUAUUUAUUAACCACUCAUAUUUCCCCAUUACACACGUAGCUCACUUCCUUGCUUACACUACAAGAAAAAUCACUUUUAGUAGCAUUAUGUAAUAGCAUUUUAUUACAAAAUGCUAUAAAACGUUAAUUUUUUAUUACACAAUCUAAAAAACGCUAUAAUUAAAUAUCUAAGUGAUAACAUUUUACUUUUUAUAGCAUUUUAUAUUUCAUUAAUAGCAUUUUUUUUAAAUGUCAUAUAUUACAUUAACAAACGUAGCUCUUUUAAAAUGCUACGAAAAAACACACCUUUGUAACAUUUAAAAAAUGCUGCGAAAAGAAAAAAACAAGUAAAUAAAUCUACCGCCAAGAUUAGAAACACGCGGGCACUCUCUUUUUCCAAAAUUUAAUAUUAUAAAAGGACAUCUAAAGCCUACAUCCCUUCUUUUUUUGUCUUUCUCUAGAUUCCGCCUAAAAUCCCCUACUUUUGUCAAUUUCUUUUGUUUGCUUGAUUUUAUAACCUUUUUUUUUUUUUACAAGCUUGUGAACCUAUGGCAUUCAGUCUCCUAACAGCUUACAAAGUACUAAAGAUAAGAACUAUGAAACUAUCCAGCUAGUUCUUUUCUAGUUGGAAUUACAGGCACAAGAAAAUUCCCAAAUGGUGAAUCAAAAAUUUUGAAGUUUCCGGUGCAGCCCUCUUGCUGCUACUGCAAAAUUUUUUGCUUGUUGAAUCCUCACAUUAAUUUCACUAGUUUGAGCCACUGGAACUAUUGUAUGACUUGUUGAUGGUACAUCUCUGGCUUUAUUUGCGGUAGAUGAAGAGACAAUCCGGCGGGGGGGCGGCUGAUUGAUCUUUCUCCUCUUGGGUUCAGGUGCCGUUUUUGCCAUUGGCUUCGGCGGCCAAGAACGGCGCCAGUCGAUGGUAAAUGAUGAUCCCCUUGCCUGAUUUUAUAACUUAAGUAGCUAGAUCUCUCAAAAUCAAAAAGUUCUGAUCCUUAAUCCUUUAUUGUCUCAAGGCUUGUUGUUGUUGGGUCUUCCCUCAAAUCUUUCACAUGAAUAUUUACAUGUAAGCUUUAAUUUUUUAAUUUAAUUUACCGAAUUUAGGGUUUUCAAUUGUUACUAUAGGAUUUCUUAUGUUGAUUCCAUUUUAUAUGGAGCAAUUUCUGAUAUGUUUGGUUCAUUUAUUUUUCUUACAUUUAGAAGUAAUAUAUCAAAAACUAUGAAAAUUCUCAUUUAUGCCUUAACAAUCCGAAAUUUUGUAUAUCGAUCACAUAAUAGGUUUUUUUCAUCUUAAUUAUUUAUUUUUAGUUAGUAAAUAUUUCUUUAGGGAGGGUGAUUAGAGAAUCAUUCUGUCGGUUUCCAGCUAGACAGUGCAUAUAGCUAAAGUUUUGCAUCAAUAUUGUGAUGUUGUGAAAGAAAGAAAUGAGUUGAUUGAUGUGCAAUUUCUAAAAACUUGGCACUACAACUUCUGUGUAGUUUCUAAGUUUGAGAAUAUGUACUGAUUUAAUUAGAACUUGCAGAUCUUUAAUAGCCAGAAUUUUCUCCUGAGUUACAACAUUUAUGGGUUGCAUUGGCAUUUUAAAAGAGGGAAGGCUUCAAUUGAGGUAGAUCUUUAUGAUGUCUCAUUAUUUGUGGACUUUCCUUUACUAAUUUCAGUUUUGUUGUUUUUGUUGGUUGUACUGUUGAUUCUGUUGUUUUGUCAUUUAUUUUAUUGAGUUGAUUUUAUUUCUUAUAUACUAAUAUCAAUCCCUCUUGUCUGGUUAGGGUAAUGGUUGUUGUUGCAUUUUUCCAACCAAUUGAUGCUUAAGUGAGAUCCAUAAGUGAAGAUUUAUCUUGCCGAAUUUAGUCUCAUGCACAUGGUUUUCUUUUUGUUUUGUUUAAAUGAAGAUUUAAAUUAAUCUAAAUUUGUUUGUUCUUGGUAGUGUUUGGGUUUUAUUUAUUAAGCUAGAAAACUUGAAUUUAACUUAUUAAAGUGGUCAUUAGACACAAACAAGAUUAUCAAUAAGCCCAUAUUGCUUGGUUAUUUAGAUUGUGCCCGUACAAAAGGACUAGAUGCUGAAAGUUCUCAAAAGUCUCUCAAAAUUCAUGAUAGCCUCAUGUUUUGUUUAUAUGAUUAGCAUUAAUACAUAAUUCUUGUAGGUUAAAUUGAAUGCACUAGUACUAAAAAAAAGAAGAAAAAAUUGUUGCAUAAGGCGAUAUUUAAUUGAUACAAAGACAUGAAUAAGUUAUCAUAAUUGCUCCUUACAUUUGUGUAGUUCACUCAUAUUCUUAAAUUUAUGUCUAACAUAGGUACAAACUCCUGCAGAAGAUUAAUUAGGUUGAUGGAAUGUGAAGAAAAAUAAAAUGGCUUCCAAGCGAAUUACAAAAUAAAGUUAUAGAAUUUCUUUAUUGGUGUUUGAGUUGAUUUAUUACAACAUUUGAUUUUCAUUUUGUACUAGGUAUUGCUAUUUUUAUCCUUUUGCCAUAUACUUAUUAUAUCCUUAAUGACCUAGCAUUUAUGGAUUGUAUGUCAAAGUUGAUGGUUUGGAUGAAUGUAAGCGUGAUUUGAAGUUAAGUACACUUUAAUUUUUCUAAUUUACUUAUAUGGGAAAAGUUUGUUAAGGAGGCAUUAUUCUGUUUCUUUUUUAUUAACAGAAUAAAAUUCUUAUUUAUUUUUAAAUUCAUAAUGCAGGUGAUCAAGGAUAUUCUGCAAAAAUGUAUUGAAGAGUGAGGACAAAUUGAAGAUAAUAUCUAAUAUUUUGUUUAAAGGUCACUAGAAAGUAUAGAAGUCUGAUAGUUGCAUAUUUAUUUUUUGUAAAUGUUGUAGUUGAAAGUUUAAUGUAUGAUUAUGGAUGUUUAAGUAUUUUUAUUUUAUCAACGAAUAAUGUAUAAUUUCUUUUUCAUCAAAGACUAAAAUGAUGUAUUGAAUUAAUGAAUUGAAUGAAGAAUAAUUUCUUUUUAAUCAAUAGAAUGACUAAAAUGAUUUAUUGAAUUCAUGAAUUGAAUGAAGAACAUUGAAAUGCUAUGAUAGCAUGAUGUUAAUGUUUUUAUAGCAUUUUAUAAAAGUUAUGUUAGAGAUUUGCAAGGGAACUGUACAUGAUUUGGUAGCGUUUUCUAAAUGUUCUCUUUGAACAAUGAUAGCAUUCACCUAAAGCGACGAAAGCUAAUUGCAUUGCACUAAUUCAAUGCUAUGUAUCAUAAUUUGUGGCAUGUAAAAAAUGCUACUAAUGUGUAAUACUUUUAGUUACACCGCCUAACUUAGCAUUGUUCAAAAUGCUACCAUUCAUUUUUGGUAGCAUUUUUCAGAUGCUAUCACAUACUGUUUUUGUUGUAGUGUUAUUGCUUGCCAACUCGAUUUCAUUAUAAAAUUUUUAAACUAACAAGAGAAAUCAUAUAUAUACUACUUUUAUUCAUAUGUACAUCUAACCACCUUAGAAUUCUAACAUGUUCUUUACACUACCUUUGCUUUUAAGUUAGUAUCAAUAAAUGAGACAAAUAUUAUAAAGUGUUAUAAAAAACUACAAGAAAUUUCAAUAGAUAUCAUUUGACUAGAUUUUCCAUCGGUUUCGGUUAGUCAAAGGUUAGAAAAAAUAGGUACAAUGUUUAUAUAAUACUUCUCCACAUAUAAAGAUCUCUAGAAGUCUUUUUCACCCUUAUAAUUUACUUUCAUAACAUAAACAAAGAAUAAAUAAAAUAGCCAAAAUGCCCAUCCAAUUGUUUCUAAUUCACAACAAUAUUCCAGAGGAUAAAGGAUACCUACACUCUAAGAUUUAGGAAAAUAGUUAUGUAAACCCCAAGUUUUUCAAUGAAGGACAUCAAGACUUCCUUUUCACUAUAAUUAAAAAUUAACUAACAAAUAUCAGUGUGAAAGAACUAGUAUUUUCUUAUACUUACGCAACAAUCUUACUAUAAUUUUUUAUAAGUAAAUCAAUAUUAGACAACUUAAAGUAAUGUGUAAUAUCUUUAUAACAAUCUUACUAAUAAUUAUUGUAUAAAAAAUUAUUUACUAAAUUAAUCUUAAAAGUAUAAUAAUAGAACAAAAGGUUGGUUAAAAUUUUUAUAUUACUUUCAAGGUUAAUUUGAUAACUUAUCAUUUUAUUCUUUUACUAACAUCACUAGGAAUAUUGUUGUAAUGACUAUAACAUAUUUAAUAGUAGGAGUACCUUGAGAAAUUUUUUAAAUAUAUGGACUAAAUGGACACUUAACUCGACUAAACCGGCACUUAACCUAAUCCAUUAUUUGUUAUAAUAUAAAUCAAAUAAAUAUUAUAAUAACAUUGGAAGUUUCAAAAGAUAUCGUUUGCCUAGAUUCUCCAUCGGUUUCGGUUUGCCAAAGGUUAGAAAAAAUAGGUACAAUGUAUAUAGAUUAUGCCCCUCCACACAUGAAGGUCCAUAAAAGCCUUUCUUACCAUUAUAAUCUACUGUCAAAACAUAAAUAAAGAAUAAAUAAAGUAGCCAAAAUGCCCAUGCGGCUGUUUCUAAUUCACAACAAUAUAAUAGAAGAUAAAAUUUCACUUUUAUCCUUACCUAUAUUUCAAACAGAAAACAAUUUAAAAUUGACUAGUAUAAGAUGAUGAUUGAUAAGCUAGAUAUUUCAACAUAAAAUUAAAAAAUUUUCUACUCCCGCUAAUCAACAAAUAAACCAUUCUGAAUUGCUGUUUUUUUUCAAAAAUAAUUUUCAUAUAAAUAUCUUCUUUUACUUCUAAUCAUAAGGACUUCCACAAAAUUUGCUGAUUUGUUCCAUUAAUGAACGAAUGCAAAACACAAAAGCACCGAUCCUCACUACCAAUAUCCAAAUCUACAGCAACACAUUUCAAUAUUUUACUUUUCAAAAAUCUUCAAUCCAAUGACUGUCUCAAAAUUCUCAAAACCUAAAGUUCGUUAUUAUUACGGUUUUUAGAAUCAAGUUCAUAAAUUCAUUGUCAGAAUUUGUCAUUUAAUUCAUCAAUCAAGCAAUCGCUCAAAAUUCUGUGAAACCCAAUUUUUGGUUUGAUAGAUUCUGAUAGCUGUUCACAUAGAAAAAAAUUAAUUGAAAUCAAAGUAAAUAUACAUUUAACCACACACAACAUUCAAAAGUUUGAUAGAUUCCUACCUUAAUUGAUAGCGACCCACUAAACCCAAAUGGCAAGAAAAUGCUUGGUCUUGUAGAGAAGAAGAAAUAUCUGUCCUUUUGAUAAGGAUAAGGAUCCUCUCUUGUCCCUUUUUUUUUCUCCUCCUUACUUCUCCUUAUUUAAUGAGUGGUUAAGAUUAAAUUUUGUAUUUAUUUUUCACUUUAUUUACAAUCAAGUUAACUUUUUUUCAAUAGAUUAUAAAGGUAAGGAGAGGCAAAUAUAAAAAAAAUGAGAAAAAGAUCCUAAUCCAUAAAUAUAACGUAGAUAAUCAUCCGUUCACUAGCGUACUGAUUACAAUGCAGUUUUAUAAUCGUUGCACGUUGUCAUGACUGCUUUUUUAAAAAAAAAAAAAAAAUCCGUAUAAUGAUUAUAUGAUAGCAGUUCAAGCUUAGAUUAUGACAUUAACACUGGUACUUGCGGUCAAAAUUAUCUUGUUAUUCAAAUAAAAAAAAUCAACAUUUUAUUAUUAUUUUUUUCUAUACAGCACUAUAAGCACAAUUGCCUAUAUAAACUCAUGCAGUUAGGUCCCUGCAGAUCACAAUCGCGAAAGCGCAAACUUAUUAAUUAACUAAGUUUAAGUACUGUUUUGGAAGCAAUCUGACGAUCAGAGAUGGUAACAAUGGAGGAGAUUAGAAAGGCUCAGCGAGCCGAGGGCCUGGCGACCAUCCUCGCCAUCAGCACGGCAACGCCGCCCAAUUGUGUCAUCCAAGCUGAUUAUCCUGACUAUUACUUCGGGAUCACCAACAGCGAGCACAUGACUGAGCUCAAAGAGAAGUUCAAGCUCUUGUGUAUGAAUGCGAGAUCAUUUUUAUUCUCAUUCUUUUAUUUUAUUUUAAUUGUUUAGCUUUUCUGGGUGUGCAUGUUGUUAAUGCAGAUUACGCAUCAAUGAUUUUGGUGAUUUGAUCUUAAUUUACAGGUGAGAAGUCGAUGAUAAGAAAGCGUCACAUGUGCUUAACAGAAGAGAUUUUAAAAGCAAACCCUAAUAUGUGCUUACACAUGGGGACAUCACUCGAUGCGCGCCAGGACAUUUCUCUUGUUGAAGUACCAAAGCUUGGCAAAGAGGCGGCAACCAAAGCUAUCAAAGAAUGGGGACAGCCCAAAUCCAAUAUCACCCAUCUCAUUUUCUGCACAUCUGCAGGCGUCGACAUGCCUGGCGCUGACUAUCAGCUCACAAGACUCAUCGGCCUCAACCCGGAUGUUAAGCGUAUGAUGAUAUAUCAACAAGGGUGUUAUGCUGGCGCCACCAUCCUUCGUCUUGCUAAAGAUUUGGCUGAAAACAACAAGGGCUCUCGUGUUCUUGUUGUUUGUUCUGAGAACACAAUCCCCACUUUCCGUGGGCCGUCUUAUACCCAUAUUGAUUCUCUAGUGGGUCAGGCUCUUUUCGCUGAUGGUGCUGCUGCACUGAUUGUCGGUGCUGAUCCUGAUACAUCCAUUGAGCGUCCAUUGUAUCAUAUUGUGUCGGCUUCACAGACGCUUCUGCCUGAUUCUGAUGGUGCAAUUGAAGGACACAUACGUGAGGCGGGUCUAACGGUUCAUUUGAAGAAAGAUGUUCCCGAAUUUUUUUCAGCAAACAUAGAGAAAAGCUUAGUUGAUGCAUUUACUCCAAUUGGUAUCAGCGACUGGAACUCGAUAUUCUGGAUUGCUCACCCCGGUGGUCCGGCAAUUCUCGACCAGGUCGAGGCAAAACUCGGCCUGAGAAAGGACAAGUUGAGAGCUAGCCGACAUGUUAUGUCUGAAUAUGGUAACAUGUCAAGUGCAUGUGUUUUGUUCAUUCUUGAUGAGAUGAGAAACAAGUGUCUUGAAGAAGGGAAAGCCACCACAGGUGAAGGGCUUGACUGGGGUGUGCUAUUCGGGUUCGGCCCGGGGCUCACCGUUGAGACCGUAGUGUUGCACAGUCUCCCUAUAGAAGCUUGAGGGCCACAGCGUCAAUAUAAAUAAAUUCAUGUUGCAUGCUUUGUAGAUUGCUUUGAGAUCAUAAGUAUGUUAACUGUUGGUUUAGUUGAGGUUUGGGUUCAUGCCCUUUCUUAUGGCUCUAAAGCAACAGAACUCAAUCCGUUCUUUGUUGUAAUAAUUUCCCUUUAUUUGAAUAAAAUUUAUCCGCUAUUUGUCUUUUUAUCAUUGUUUGUGUUUUUGAGCCAUUGCCUAUAACCGAGCGAAAAAUGAAAGGACUAGUCCCGAUCUCCUUAGGUAAGACUUUCUAUUUUAUCUAGAAUGACUAUUUGCCUCGUUUCCAAAUAUUUUCGUAUCUCCAACCUGCAAAUCUAUAUAAUCAACAAAUCCAAAAUGAUUUCAACCUCAACUGUUCUACAGUGAUCCAUUUCCUCAAAACGAAAUAACGGACAACGCCCGAAAUAGCACGGUCAAAUUAAUUCAUCCAACACAUCAAAUAGUAUCAAUAAAAUAUAAUAUAUGACUUAUGCUAAUACACAAUAAUAUCUAUGUAUCAUUAAUUAGAAUUUCACAAUCACCCUCAAUUGAGGCAAUCGAUUUGUUUGGCCAUCCACCUUGACGGCUUGACUCCUGGGAAAGGUGGAGAUAAAAAUAAAUAAAUGUGGGUUCUUCUCAUCCUUGUCUUCUUUGUUUUUUUGAAAAAAAAAUUGUACAUAAAAAUUACGUACAACUGGAUAAGUAUCGACAGUGGUUGUUAAAAAAAAAAAAAGUUGUACGUAAUAAUUGUACAAAAACGGAGAAUAUGAAAUGACCAAAACUCAAAUACUAUAGACGUCAAAAGGUUCAUUGGUUUGGCUACAACCUUCUACAGGGGAAAAAAAAUAAUUGUACAAAAACGGAGUGUUUGAGUACAUUACUAAAAAUAACAAUUGCUAAAAUUAAUAUUUGUACUUUAUUAAUUUUGUUUCCUUUAUGUUUUUAUAUUGAAAAUAAUUGAUAGGAUAUGGAAGACAUAUGGUAAUUAAGGAGCAUAUAUGUGAAUUUAAAAUUCAUAAUAAUAAUGAUGUACUUAAAUUCAUUGGUUUUAUUACAAAAUUUGUAUAAGGAUUGGAUGAUAUAUAUUGUCAAGCAAUAAAUUUAAGAAAAAAAAAAUCAAAUAUCAAAAUUUGUUCUUACCUUUUCAAAAUUAAUUUUGAGCCUUCUCACAGCAUUGCCAAACAUCGCUAAAUAGUAGUUUUCAUAUUAACUGAUUGUCCAAAUUAAUUGUCUGUCCGUUAAUACAAUUGAUAUCUUCUAAAAACCCUCCUGAAAUAAUUAGUGUGAUCAUCAUGUACUUUAUUUUUGCCUUCCCUUUUUUUGGGCCCGGGUGGUGGGGGGCCGGGGGUGAUUGGUGAUCUAUAUUUAUAAAUAUAUAUAAAUUCAUGUUGUAUGCAAUCAAUUAGAUUGAUUGGUGAUCAUAUGCGCAUGCCCGAUUUCUCUAGAAAAAUUGAGGAUCAAAGGGGUAAGAAGACUCAUCACAUUUUCACUAGCCCAAUUUGCCGUAGUUUCCUUUUAUUCAAUAAAAUUACCUCGCUUCGACAAGGUUCGUAUCUUAAAAAAAAAAUGUGUUUGUAUAAUUGUUUGUCGGAUUGGAGAACAGUUCGAUAGAUAUUAGCGUGAUCUGAUUUGUUGUUCCAAGACUGACUGUAUAACCGAUCGAAAAAUGAAACGGCUCGCCUCGUUAACCCAAAGAUCUUGUAAGCAGUAAUAAAUUAAUCUUUUUAACGUGGAAUAUCUAGCUAUGAUAGGAACAAUUUUCUGCUGGCUAUUCACCAGCUAUUAGUAAUAGUUUGUGAUCAAUGUUGACACGAAAAUAGACCAUAGAAUGCUGCCAAUUUUCAAUCAAUUGGAGUGACUACAUACACGACAGAGGAAGCACAGCUAGCUUUAGCAAUCAUUCAAAUAAAUCAAACCCCGGCAACCGGGUAGUCGAGACAGGAUAAUCCCCAAUCUCUAAAUUGUUGGCAGGAAGGAUGGCUAUUUUCGUCCAUUAUUUAUAACAUCGAAACGUUUUUUCCCCCUUAAUGUCAUUAUUAUUAUUGUGCCAAAAAGAGAGAAAUUUGUGAAGUGUGGAAUAAAGAGAAAGAGAUUCAGUGUAGAUUUUGAACCUCUCCUAAUCUAAUUUUUUCUAAUCAUUUAAAGAUUUGAUAACAUGUGACAAUUUUUGUGAUGAAUGGUUAAGAUUUCUUUACUUUUAUCUUUUUUCAUAAGUUGAUAUAUUACCCUAUUAAUAUUUUUGUCUUCUCUAAUUUUAAAAGAUUUACAUGAAUCCCUACAAUCAUAGGAGGAAAAAGAAAAAAAAAAGAGUCCUAAUGAUUCUUUUCCCAUAAAUUGAUAUAUUAGCAUAUUACUGUGUUUUAUCUUCCCUAAUUUUAAAAGACAUCAGUCCCUGUAAGCAUGGAAGAAAAAGAAGAUCACAAUUAGAAUCGUCUAAUGAAAUUGACAGAGUAUGAGAUUAAUAAAUACCCAAAUAGAUGUAUUAGAAAUCAAAUCCAGAAAUUAAAAAAAAAACAGCAAAAUUGCAGUCAAUUAACACCCAAACGAUUUCCAAUCUUAGUUAGCACUUAGCAAUAGAUUUGUUGAAGGAUAAGCAGUUCCGAGUUGCCUAUAGAAAAUAUAAUUGGUGGGAGAUUUACACAGAAGUAACUGUUCUUGUACGGCAUUGUUUUCCAUAUUUAUUUAGUUCGUUUUUAGAUUAAUUUCAGGUUCCCCAAAAAAAAAUCUAUUUAACAGAUUUUCGUUCAAAAAAAAAAGGGGAAAAGAAGAAGAUGAUAGACUUUAGAAGAAAAAAAUAAUCAUUUUUGGCCAAAAAAAAAACUACAAAAAUCUUGACCAUUGAAUAUAAAUUGCCAAUGUUGUGAGAUCGUUAAAAGAUGAAAAAUUAGAUUAGAAAAUGAUCCAAUUCCAGAGGGAUGAGAGCACGUAUUGAGCUCAAUAAUAAUAGAAAAAAACAAAUAAUGUGCUGUGUGAAAGCUUUUUGGAACAAUAAGGAGAGGAUAAACAUUCCCUUGUAUUAAUUUCAAAUGCCUCUAAGCCUUAUUUAUUCAAAAUGUUCAAUGACAUAAAACUAAGUCAUCAUGAAUAAUGAAUCAUGAUUCAUCUUCUUAAUAUAUAAGUCAUAAUACCUAUGAUUUCUUAUCAUGGAUAUACAUAUUUUAAUGGCAAUGAUUAUGGCUAUAUAUACAUGUAAUAUUGGAUAUUAGCCAAAUAUACUCGAUUGGGAAGAACUUCAUAAGAAUUAAUAAUAAUGAAGGGAAAGAAACAAUAAAUUAAUUGAUUGAUUGUCUUUUUUUUAAUUAUCGAUUAAGAAAUAUUGAUUAUCAAUUAAUAUAAAAAUUAAUUGAUUCUAAAUUUACUAUAUAAUCAACCGUUAUUGCUCAUCUAUUUUAAUUGUAUCAUUUUUUUUCAUACUUGCAUAAAUUGAGCUUUUUUAAUUAUGUAUAAAUAAGAGCUAAAUUUAUUUUUUCUCUGUAGUUCAUAAAAGUUUAUAAUAGUAUUUUGAGCUAUACCCAUGCCCGAAUUAGUCCACCCUACUUCGUUCAAAUUGAACCUUUCCAACACCUUCGGCACAUAAUGGCUUGGGACAAAAAGAUUGUACCCUUCUUUCUGUCUCUAAUCACUUUCAUGAUUGUACUCACCUUUCUAUCUCUGUUCAUCUUCGUUCCCAAAAUCUUUUUAGAUGCUCCAACUAGAAAAACCAACAAGGACACCAGAAGCUGAGCCUUGCAAAAAGAAACCAACAAAGAAACAAAAAGCUGAAACAAAAAAAUCAAAUCCAAGUCGGGGCCUUAAAGAGUUAUAAUAUUAUAAAAAAAGAAAAGAGGAAAAAAACAAGUACAUUAAUUCAGAAUACGAGCCUUUCUAAAAUUACUCAAAUUUCAGCAUUAACACAGCAUAUUAUGAGAUUACAAGGUGCAUAUUAAUAUUAAAAAUAAUUAAUAUAAAAUAUUUUAUAUUUUCUUCAUAUUUUGAAAAGUGGUUUCUAAUAAGACCUGAGAAAUUAUUAUACAUUCAUAUUUUCUUUCUUUUUUUUAAAUAGAUUUUUCAGUUUCAUUAUUUCAUAGCCUUUAUAUUUGGAUGAAAAGGAAACAGCAGUGGGUAUUAAAGAAGUAACAUUCAAAUUUCCAUCCUCAUUUAGUUUGCAUUCUUGAUUUACCAUUUCAAAUUUCAAGCGAUGAGUAAUUUUCAAAUCCAAACCAUCAGAGACGGUUGAGCUGAACGAUUGAAAAGCUUUCUUCAAAAACCAGUGAUGAUACCGGGUUAUUUCUGAAAAUAAAUAAUAGAGGUCUGUUGGAGAAUUAACAAAUAAAACACAUAAAAAACACACUAUUUUAUUUCUUCAACAACACUCCUCACUAAUUACAACUCUUAUUUUUCACUCUCUACACCUUAGAGAUUUUGCUACUUCACUUGAUGUUUAAACCAAAGGGGAGAGUGGGUAUUUAUACAUAAAACAAACUAAUCACAACCAUUCAUUUAUUCAACUAAUAAACAAAUCCUCACCAUCCAUUAAAACCUACCACUCACCUACUUCACCAACCACACCUAACACACCUAACAUAAAUAAUUCAAACCUCACCAACCAUACCUACUCAUGGAACCUUCCAUGAGUUGGGCUUGAUUUAUUCAUCUUGGAUCAAGUUUAUGAUCCAACACCUCCCCUUAAACUUGAUCCUGUGACACCAAGCAAACUUCUAAAUCUUACAAAGUCUUCUUGCUUGAGUGGCUUAGUGAAGAUAUUAGCUGCUUGAUCUUGUGAUUUUACAUACUUGAUUUGCACUUCUUUUCUUGCAAUACACUCUCUUAUGAAAUGAUAGCGAGUGUCUAUGUGUUUACUUCGAUCAUGAAAGACUAGAUUCUUGGAUAGGGCAAUUGCUGAUUUGUUAUCAACACAAAUCUCGGUUGGCUCUUCUUGUGCCAAACUCAACUCCUUCAGCAAAUUUCUGAGCCAAAUUGCAUGACAAACACUUGAUGUGUCAGCUACAUAUUCAGCUUCACAGGUGGAUAGCGUGACAAUUGGUUGCUUCUUUGACAUCCAUGUGAAAGCAGUAUCUCCCAUGAAGAACACAAAUCCUGUGGUGCUCUUUCGAUCAUCUACAUUUCCACCCCAAUCGCUAUCGCUGUAUCCAACAAGCUUGUAGUUUUUAGAAAAUGAGUAUAGCAAGCCGAAAUUAGUUGUACCUUUGAUGUAGCGAAGGAUUCUUUUUGCAGCUUUAAAAUGGGUGGUCUUUGGAUUCUCCAUGUAUCGGCUCACAAGUCCAACAGCAUAAAGGAUAUCUGGUCUUGUGCAUGUCAAAUAACGUAGGCUUCCAACUAAACUUUUAAAGAAUGUUGGAUCUAUAUCUUCGCCUUUAUCAUGUUUGGAUAACUUGACUCCGCAUUCCACUGGCGUGCUUAUAGGCUUACAAUCAUUCAUCUUGAACUUCUUGAGAAUCUCCUUUGCAUAGCUUUCUUGGGAGAUAAAUAUGCCUUCUUCCUUUUGCUUGACUUCAAUGCCGAGGUAAUAUGCCAUCAGUCCGAUGUCAGUCAUCUCGAACUCUUUGAUCAUCACUCUCUUGAACUCUUCAAACAAGCUUGGAUUACUUUCAGUGAAGAUGAGAUCAUCCACAUACAGGCACACAAUCAAAAUAUCUCCAUAUUUUUCUUUGAUGUAGAGAGCAUGUUCAUAUGGGCAUUUGGUGAAGCCUUUCUCUUGAAAAUACUUGUCAAUUCUGCUAUUCCAUGCCCUUGGUGCUUGCUUUAACCCGUAAAGAGCUUUCUUCAAUCUCAAAAUUUUGUCCUCGUGUCCUUUCACCACAUAGCCUAAUGGUUGUUCGAUGUAAACUUCUUCUUCAAAUAAUCCAUUCAAGAAAGCAGACUUCACAUCCAUUUGAAAAAUCUUCCAUUUGUUCUGAGCAGCCAAAGAAAUAAUAAGUCUAAUAGUUUCAAGUAGAGCUACAGGAGCAAAUACCUCGUCAUAGUCUAUGCCAGCCUUUUGACUAUAGCCUUUUGCAACUAGCCUCGCCUUGUGCCUUUCAAUUUCUCCCUUCGCAUUUCUUUUUGUUUUAUACACCCAUUUGACACCGAUCGCCUUGUGACUUUUUGGAAGAGUAGUAAGCUCCCAAGUAUCAUUCUUCACAAUGGCUUUGAUUUCUUCAUCCAUUGUAAUUCUCCACUUCUCAUCUAGUGCAGCUUCUUGGAAGUUGACUGGCUCACAAUCAGCAAAGAGGCAAAAGAGAGUGAGAUUAUCAUAUCUCUCAGUUACCUCAUAGAGAUCUUGAAGACUCCUUGUACGUUCUUCGGUUCUUUCAUUUAAGAAAGACAGCGGUGAAUCUCCGUAUGUGGUUGGUGCUGGUGAGAUAGGUGGAGUGGCAGGCUCUUAUUGUUCGUCUACUUGUUUUAUCUGUGUAUAAGCAUCUUCUUCAAUGGGAAAGAAGUUGAAGUCAUCCACACCAGAGCCAAAAUCUCAUUCUCCUUCUUCAUCAAAAAUUACAUCUCGACUGAUCACGAUCUUCUCGUUGUUUAGAUUGUAAAGCUUGUAUCCUUUGGAGUUGUUAUCGUAGCCGAUGAAGAUGAACUUCUUACUUUUGUCAUCCAACUUGGCUCUACUUUCGUCUGGUACAUGUACAUGGGCAAUGCUUCCGAAAACUCUUAGAUGAGUGAUGCUAGGUUUUUUUCCACUCCAAGCUUCUUGUGGCGUCUUGCCCCACACGCUUCUUGUUGGAGAUCGAUUGGAUAAGUAGACUGCACAUGCAACUGCUUCAGCCCAAAAUUCUUUAGGUAGCCUCUUACUCUUAAGCAUGCUUCUUGCCAUGUCGAGGAUGGUUCUGUUCUUCCUUUUUGCAACACCAUUUUGUUGGGGGGAUCUUGGAACUGUCAAAGGGCGUCGAAUUCCAUUUGCUUCACAAAACUCUAAAAAUUCUUUGGAAGUGAACUCUCCACCUCGAUCAGAUCUCAUGGCUUUAAUUUGGUAUCCACUUUCUUUUUCAACUGCAGCUUUAAAAUUCUUGAAAGCUUCAAAGACUUAUGAUUUUUGCUUCAAAAAAUACACCCAAGUUUUUCUUGAAAAAUUAUCUAUGAAGAAAAGGAAGUAGUUACUUUUACCAAGGGAGUUUGGCUUGAAUGGACCGCACACAUCAGUAUAAAUGAGCUCGAGUGGCUUCUAAGCUCUUGAGUUUAACUCCUUUGGAAAGCUCUUUCUAAACUGCUUGCCAAGUAAACAUCCUUCACAAAGUUGGUCAGGGUGAUUGAUGUAUGGUAAGUCUUUCACCAUGUUCUUCUUAGUUAGUAGCUCCAGUCCUCCAAAGUUGAGAUGCCCAUAUCGAAGAUGCCAAGUCCAGGAUUGAUCUUUGUGACAUGCUUUGAGAUAUUUUACAACAUCAUUUUGAAUAUUUAAAGAAAACAUUAUAUUCUUUGACAUUCUCACCUUUGUAAUUAGAUUUCCUUUGUCAUCUCUUAGGAAAAGACUAUAAUCUUUUAAGUGAAUAUCAUAGCCUUUUUCUAAAAGUUGACAUAAACUAAGAAUGUUGCUUUUCAUAUUGGGCACAUAGUAAACAUUCGAAAUUAUUUGGUGGCUACCAUUUUUUGCACGAAAAAGAAUGUUACCUCUACCCUUCACUGGUACUUUUGAAUCAUCUCCAAAAGCGACACUGCCAUUCACAGAUUCACUUAGUUGCACGAACAUGCUUCUAUUUCCACUCAUAUGAUUGCCAGCACCUGUGUCAAGAUACCAUGUAUUUUCUUGACCUCCACUUGUGUCAUUGUGUGCUAGUAAAAGUGUGCCAUCUUCACCAUUUUUCGCUUCAGCAUAAUUCACUCUCUCUUCAAUUCUGGUGCUUGGAGCUCUGCAUUCUGAAGCAUAAUGCCCAAACAUUUGACAAUUAUAGCACUGUACUUGGGAUUUGUCAUACCUCGAUUUUGGAUUGCCUCUGCCUCGUCCUCUGGUUGAGCUUUCUCCUUUGGCAUAAUUGGAGUUGUUGUUGUUGAAAUUCCAACCUCAUUCAUGACCACGACCUCUACCUCGUCCUUGACCUCUACCUCAGACAUAGUGCCUUCUCUCGUUGUCGGAGCUUUUUUCUCUUUUCUUUGGAUUGACUUCCAUUUUGAGAAGUUGUUCUUCGAUUCCUUGCUUCUUUUUUUGUUUUUCUUCAUAGGCUUGCAACCUUCCUUGAAGUUGUUAGAUCGUCAUAUCCUCCAGAUCUCUUGUUUCUUCAAUUGUCACAACAAUAUGGUCAAAUUUCGAGUCUACUGAUCGAAGUAUUCUUUCAAUGAUCCUUACCUCUUUUAACUCCUCGCCAUUUCUUUUUAAUUCAUUGGAAACGGUCACAACUCGAGUAAAGUAGUCAGAAAUUGACUCCGACGCCUUCAUGUGUAAGGACUCAAAUUCUCAUCGUAAUGUUUAGAGACGAACCUUCUUAACUUGCUCCGCUCUUUUGUAAGAGGUCUCUAAUUUCUCCCAUGCUUCUUUUGAGGAGGUUGUACCAGCAAUCUUUUCAAAAGCAUCUUCAUCUAAUGAUUGAAAGAUGAGAUACUUUGCUUUAUUCUCUUUCUUCUUCAAGUCUUUUAAAUUCUCCUUCUGCGCCGCAGUUAAAGUGGCUUCAUUUUCUGGCACAAUAAAGCCUUUCUCCACGACAUCCCAUACGUCAUGUGCGCCCAAUAGAGCCUUCAUUUUAAUACUCCAAUUGUCAAACUUACUUCCCUUUAAUUGUGGAACUUGAAAUGACAUCACACCCCUGUUUGCCAUAACUCACAAAUUGAGUGAGAAUUUGGAGAUUCUGAAAGCACAGAUGGAUCCGGCACGUCGAAAAACCUUGGGAAGGACUCGAGUCAACUUUCGGUCAACGGUCAAUAGUCAACGCUGGUCAAAGGUCAACGCUGCUCAAAGGUCAACACCGGCUUGGUAGUCUUGGCUCGGUUCGGAUUGGUUCAGCUCGAGUUGGCUCGGUUCGACUUGAUUCGAUUCAGCUCGGUUCGGCUUGGUUCAACUCGGUGAGUCGACUCAGCUUCAGGACAGAAAGCUUCCGGCGGCAAGUGUGGGCGCAUCCCGUCUCGGAUCGGGAUGAUUUUUGUGGCGUCACGUUCCUCUCGUCGCGAUCUUCGAUUUGAUAUGCUAUAUGACUAUAUAUAGCAUCAAGCACUAGCUCUGAUACCACUUUGUUGGAGAAUUAACAAAUAAAACUCAUAAAAAAACACACUAUUUUAUUUCUUCAACAACAUUCCUCACCAAUUACAACUCUUAUUUUUCACUCUCUACACCUUAGAGAUUUUGCUACUUCACUUGAUGUUUAAACCAAAGGGGAGAGUGGGUAUUUAUAUAUAAAACAAACUAAUCACAACCAUUCAUUUAUUCAACUAAUAAACAAAUCUUCACCAUCCAUUAAAACUUACCACUCACCUACUUCACCAACCACACUUAACACAAAUAAUUCAAACCUCACCAACCAUACCUACUCAUGGAACCUUCCAUGAGUUGGGCUUGAUUUAUUCAUCUUGGAUCAAGUUUAUGAUCCAACAAGGUCUCAUGAGAUCAAAUGAGGAGCGCUUGAAGUAACCCUCUACUCGUAACUUUUAGCCUAAAAUUGAGUUUGAACUAAUAUGAGGAGAGAUGUGGUAUUUUAUCUUUCUCAUUCCUAUCUUCUGUUUCCAUUCUUCCCAACGUUAUUUUUGUAGUUGAUUAUCUGACAAUUUAUGAGCUUGUUACCGAAAGAAUUUCUGGAUGCAUUUAUUAUGUGGCCAAUUGAGGAAGUUAAGGGAAUCCUAUCUAGUAUAAUUUUGAAUAAAUCAUGCUAGGCCGAUUUCCAAUAGGUCGAACAAUUUCUUAUUUAAUUUAUUUUUAUGUUUCUUAUUUUAUUAGGAUUUCAUAAUUCUAUGGGGAAAAGAAAGCUUGCAGCUUGGCCACCCCAAGUCAAAAACGUUGCAGGAGUAUUUAAAAAGAGUGAUGAUAUCUCCACCCCUCAUUUUUUGUAAAUUCACCUCAUUUUUAAAAGAUAAUUAUAAAAGUUGCACAUUAUUUUUAAUUUUCAAAUCAAGAAGAACUUUGGAUAAUUAAUUAAUUAAAUCUAUCUUAAUUCACUUUUUUUGUAACUUAGAUUUUUUUCAGCAUGUUUGAUUACAAAGAUUGCUUUAACAUAAGUUUCAAUUGACUAUUUUACCCUUAUAAACUAAAAUUAUCAAGAAUUUAAUUUAUCAAUAUUUUUCUAAUUUGUACCAAACUUAUUGUUUCUAAUACUACUUUAUUAAUACGAUUAUUAUUUUUUAAUUGAAUUAACAUAGUGUCUUUAUGGCACAAUUUUCAUAUAAAUUAUUAAAUUGUCAAAUUUAUGUCAUUUACAUGUAAAGGUAGUGAAAUAAUAAUUAGGUUUCAUUUAAAAAUAAUAGAUUAUAAGCCGCA
rnacentral:lncRNA from 1 species